rnacentral:lncRNA from 1 species
AUGAACAUGCUGGCAGAUGCGUUUUACAAAUUAUUCAGCGCAUCACCUGAUGAAGCUAGGAAGGAAAUUGGACAAGCCUAUUUUGACUGUCUGAGCCUUGGAGGUAGGUUUUCAAGUGACUCUACUGCUUUGAUCGGUGGUCUUAUUGCUAGCCCACUGCAUCUGGUUAUCCACUUCCUUGUUGCUGUUACUCAUGGAGUUGGUCAUCUACUGUUGCCAAUUCCAUCAGUCCGGGGAUUACGUGGUAGUGCGAGACUGAUUUCUGUAAGUAGUGAAAGUUUCUAGUUUGGUUUAGCUGCUUAAAUGUUCUUAUGAGAAUUUGACGACUCGUUUUGUGCUGCUUCCUUUUAUUUCAGGCUGCUGCAGGUAUCGUUCUCCCCCUCAUGAAAGCAGAAGGGGUUAGGCAAACGUUCUUCCCAGCUACUUUUCCUGCAUAUUAUAGAGAUCCUCCUGCCCAACUGAAACAAUAAGAACAUGGGGAGGGCCAGGACGGGGCCAUGCUCAGUGUCUACCUUCUUCCCCUUAUUUCUGCAUAUUUGCCAUGGUCCAUGGUUUAUUCGUGGGAAUGUAUGUGAUGUAUAUUGGGACUAUGUGUGUGUGUAUGUAUGUAUGCUGAGAUCUCUGUAUACAAUCGUGUGUUGUGAAUACAAAACAUGUUUCCACACCUUAUAAAACAUAUGCUGUGAUGAUGUGAAUUAAGCUCCCAAAUUAUCUGUCUCUAUAUCGAAAUUGUCACUGCCACCAGCUUGUUUGCAUGCGAAAAAUCUACGCCCAGAGGAUUCAAGACUAAUCAUUCCAGUGUCCAGCACAAUCAGUGAUGUGUUUAUAUAUCCAUCACCAAACUAGUAACAGUAAACAUAAGAAUUUAUUAUUUUAUACAAAUUUUAAUAUUAAAUUUUAAAAUUAGAUAAUAAUAAAUGUAAUGCUAAAAUAUGAAAUAAAAUAUCUCUAAAUUGAUCGAUGAUCGAUAACAAUAAAAUAUGCUAAGAAAUUUCUAUAUUGAUCGAUCGAUAAUCAGAAUCCAAUCAUAUUUAUAAUAUAUCUUAUUUAAUUAAAAAAAAUUCAAUAAUAUAUUGUACGAUAAGUAUUCCCUAUGAUGCAAUUAUAAAAUGAUAGACUUGACAUCAGAUGAGAACAAAAAAAUAGAGGCAUGGAUGUUUACCCUUAACGACUAGGAGCUGUUAUGAUAGAACAGUAAAUGGUCCGAGGCAAAAAAGACAUGAGAACAAAAAAAUAGAGGUAUGGAUGUUUACCCUACAUCAUUCUGGAAGUUAGGUUCCUCUUCGUAUAGAAUUUGAGUUGUACGAGAGAUGAUCGUAUACAAGUAUGCCUCGAUUUAGUUACUUUUGUUUGUUGUUUGCAGAGCACACCUUACUUAUAGGGAGUAAUCUUUCGAUCAAUGAGUCUCUCAAGUAAUUGUUUUAUGGAAGCCAACAUAAAGCAAUCUAUUUAUAGAGAGUAACUCUUUGGUCACAGAUUCUGUCAAGGAAUUGUUUUAUGAAAGCCAACAUAAAGCAAUCUAUUUAUAGAGAGUACUCUUUGGUCACAGAUUCUGUCAAGGAAUUGUUUUAUGAAAGCCAACAUAAAGCAACGAAGUCCAUGUAGGAAUAACCACCCAUGAAUAGGAUAAGCAGUGGUAAAUUGCUUGGUGUGAUGAUUUGAAUCACCUGUAUUGAUCUCCUAUGUACUGUGGUCUUCUGCUCCCUUUUUUUUCCUGCAUUAACCACUAUACUUGGAUUACUACUCCUCUCUUUUGUGUGUUUUUUGCAAGUCAAACACGGAGAAGGCUACUAUAUUGCUCUGAACGCUUUUUAUUUGGUGAUCAAGCUUUUGCAGAUUGCAAAUGUUAUGCAGUCAUCUUGCAGUAGUUUCAAGUGUUUGCAACUGAUCCACAGCCAUCCAUAUGAACACUAGCUGUUUUGUCUUGUGCAUUCUUUAGCCUCUCUGCAUCGGGUGGGAACUAAUUUAGAGUGCCUGAGAUGUGUUGCAGGUAAAUUGCCUUUGUUCAUAUUUUUGUUGCUUUCAAAGCUGAUGGAUGAGCUUAUUAUUCUGGUCUGCUGUCAUGGUGAUCCCCCUGCUCGAUGAACACAGGUGAUGGAUGAGCUUAUUAUUCUGGUUUGCAGUUCUGGUGAACCCCUGCUUGAUGAGCACAGCUGAUGGAUGAGCUUAUUCUGUCUGGCCUGCUGUUGUGGGAAUCCCUGCUUGAUGAGCUUAUUCUAGUUCUUAGUUGUUCUUGUCUGGUUUGAUGAACACAGCUAGCUCUCUGAUGCUUUGUGGUGUGGGCUUCCAUCUGUAUUCCCUUCCUCCUGAUUUAAACCCAAAAUUCUUGCUUGUGAUGUGUUCGAUUACGGAUGUAAUUGGAGGAGAGAUUGUCCAUCGGAUCUGUGUGCUAAUCUCUAGAGAACAGGAUGUACUCGUUUUAUUGAGUGACUUGUUAUAAUCAAUUUUCUAUCUAGGAAGAAAAUUCUUACCCUCCAAAUUGUUCCUCUUUGUUCUUCUGAUUCCUUUGCAUCUUUCUCAUAUGCUCUUCUCAUGUUCCAAUCAUCCAACACGACCUCGACUUUCUAUUCAAGUCUACUAUUCCUCCCAUCCAAAGCUGUGAUUCCGCUAUCUCCACCAGCUCCUUGUGAACAGUCGCCGCAUUGUACUCACCUCCACCGUCUUGCCUGCUCUGACGGCCGAAGGACAACACGUGAAAUGAUUCGUGAAUGGCUGAAGAGAAAUGGGAUAGUUGAGAUCAGAGAUGGGAGGCGACGUGGCCGUAUUGGCGACGACACGAUCUCCGAAGUGUGGUGGGUACGGUUUUAAUGACCGAUAUAAUGGUCUUCCUUUUUUAUGGCUAAAAAAGGCAAGGGUCAAAGAUCCCAGCGGAAGAUAAUGACGUGCCAUGUUCCGCAGCAAGUAGAGAGCGGACCAACGUCAGGCUAAGAUAAGAGCGGCGAAUGAUAUCCCUCUCCUUAUUUAUGUGUGGUUCGCGACGACGGGAGGGAGCAGGGAAGCGAGACACAGAGAGUGGGUGGGAGAAGGACAUGGAGGGAAUGUACCCAUUGGGAGUCAUCGCUGCUUCGAUCCUAGCGUUUCUCCUCCUCCUCGGGAUCCAUGGACGUUGGGGGAAGGGCCGGAAGGCCGCUGGAAAGCGCGAUUCCGGCAGGGUAGCCGCCGGGUUUGGCGGGGCCGAUGUUAUCGUCGUCGGCGCCGGGGUCACCGGCUCCGCUCUUGCUUAUGCCCUCGGGAAGGUGACGUGUCCGUCUUCUUUUUUCGCCAUUAAGCUUCCCAAUAGUUAGCAGAGCAGCCAAAACUAGGAUUUUUAGCCGAUGCCAACAUCACCACCCACGUAGCUAUCUGUGUAUUUAUAGCUUGAUAAGGGAAAGGUAAACCGGAAUCGUAACGUACAGAGCGGCUUCAUGAUUCUGAUUGUGCAGGAUGGUAGACGUGUGCAUGUCAUCGAGAGAGAUUUGGCUGAGCCGGACACAAUUGUUGGUGAAGUCUUGCAACCUGGAGGUUGCCUAAACUUAUUUGAGCUAGGGCUCGAGGGUAAGGCACCCGGCUGACCAGUAGGAGAAUAUAUUUGAAUGAUUAGCUGCAAUUUUGGCCGUCAUGCUUGCGAUUUCAUACUCGUCCAUUAAUUUUGUGCACUGUAGAUUGUGUCGACGAGAUCGAUGCUCAGCGGGUCCUUGGCUAUGUUCUUACCAAAAAUGGGAGAAGCGCCAAACUCUCAAUACCUCUGGAGAAGUAUCAUGUAGAUGUUGCUGCCAGGUGCUUCCAUCAUGGGCGUUUCAUCCAAAGAUUGCGAGAGAAAGCAGCGUCCUUGUCCAGGUUAUCUAUCAUCUAUUCUGAAACUUUCUACUAUCGUAGUGAUACUCUUUUCUAUUUCCCCGAUCAUACGAGACAUAGGUAUAAUGUUCGGUUGAAUGAUGUUAUACCUUAUAUGAGAUAUAUGAAGCAAUUUUCUAUUGAUUAGCUGUCAUCUUAUCCUUUUUUGUUUUUUUGUUUUUUUGCAACAUUCACUUAGCCUUAGACAGAAUUCUACUAACUCUAAGAUUUUGUUUGAUGCCAAAAACUUUCCUUUAGAUAUCUUUUCAUUUAAGAACCUGAUGUUAUAAAAUUCAGCAGUUUGGUAUUGAUUGAAUACUUAGUCCAACUCGUAAAAUAGGCUGCAUGUGGUUUAUUAUGAAAUUUAACAGUUCAACAUUGAUCGAACACUUUGUCGAACCUCGAAUCUGUAAAAGAAGGUUUUUCUUGUUUUGUUUUUUGUGCAAAGGAUAAGUGGUGAUGAUAGGAUUUGAUCCUUGAACAUUGUUAGCUAACAUAUUCAUAGAGGCUUUUGUUAAUGAUCAAUCCAUAUGAAGCUUUGAGUAAGGCAUUCAAGGCACCCUGCAUCAUGCUUAAUUUUCAGUUACUAAUUGAAUAAUUGAAUUUAAAAAAAAAAGGAUGUAUCAGUAGGUCAAUUAUUGGAAAGGAAAAGUAACAAAGAAAUAAUCUUCAAUAUCAGUAAACGCUUUUCCUAUACUAUACUAUUCAGCUAUCGACAAUGAGCUGAUUAGAUGGAUCAGAUUAGGUACAAUGAUGCUGGUACACACUGAAGCAUCAUCGGAUUAGGCAAACUUUUUUCCUGUUACUCUUAAUACUGGUACAAUGAAGCAUCAUUAGGAUGCAAAUCAUCACUGUUCCAUAAACUAAAUUUCAUAUACAUUUGGAGACUUUUUGCUUCUAUAUAUCUUUAAAAGAAAUUAAAGUUCAACCCCUUCUUUUCCAGUGUUCAGUUGAAGCAGGGAGCUGUGACAUCCUUGAUUAAAGAAGACGGAAUAGUUAAGGGGGUAGUUUACAAGACUAAAUCUGGUAAAGAAUCGAAAGCUUUUGCACCUCUUACAAUUGUUUGUGAUGGCUACUUUUCGAAUCUGAGGCAUACACUCUGUUCCUCCAAGGUAAAAAUAAAUUGAGAACUUGAAGUUUCUUUUCUUUUUCAUUUCUCUCUUCUAAUAACUGCAUUUAUUCAUUAUAACGAUUUGCCAAAAAACUCACCAGAAGUAUCUCUUUUUGACAUUCACUUGUAUUUUGACAAGAAUUUGCACACGUACGCUGUGGUUGUAGCACUGAUAAAUUUCAUUCUUACAGGUGGAUGUACCUUCUUAUUUUGUUGGUUUGCUUCUGGAGGACUGUCAACUUCCAUUUCCAAACUAUGGGCAUAUUAUCUUAGCGGAUCCUUCAAUAGUAUUGUUCUACUUGAUAAGUAGCACGGAGACUCGCUGUUUUGNNNNNNNNNNNNNNNNNNNNNNNNNNNNNNNNNNNNNNNNNNNNNNNNNNNNNNNNNNNNNNNNNNNNNNNNNNNNNNNNNNNNNNNNNNNNNNNNNNNNNNNNNNNNNNNNNNNNNNNNNNNNNNNNNNNNNNNNNNNNNNNNNNNNNNNNNNNNNNNNNNNNNNNNNNNNNNNNNNNNNNNNNNNNNNNNNNNNNNNNNNNNNNNNNNNNNNNNNNNNNNNNNNNNNNNNNNNNNNNNNNNNNNNNNNNNNNNNNNNNNNNNNNNNNNNNNNNNNNNNNNNNNNNNNNNNNNNNNNNNNNNNNNNNNNNNNNNNNNNNNNNNNNNNNNNNNNNNNNNNNNNNNNNNNNNNNNNNNNNNNNNNNNNNNNNNNNNNNNNNNNNNNNNNNNNNNNNNNNNNNNNNNNNNNNNNNNNNNNNNNNNNNNNNNNNNNNNNNNNNNNNNNNNNNNNNNNNNNNNNNNNNNNNNNNNNNNNNNNNNNNNNNNNNNNNNNNNNNNNNNNNNNNNNNNNNNNNNNNNNNNNNNNNNNNNNNNNNNNNNNNNNNNNNNNNNNNNNNNNNNNNNNNNNNNNNNNNNNNNNNNNNNNNNNNNNNNNNNNNNNNNNNNNNNNNNNNNNNNNNNNNNNNNNNNNNNNNNNNNNNNNNNNNNNNNNNNNNNNNNNNNNNNNNNNNNNNNNNNNNNNNNNNNNNNNNNNNNNNNNNNNNNNNNNNNNNNNNNNNNNNNNNNNNNNNNNNNNNNNNNNNNNNNNNNNNNNNNNNNNNNNNNNNNNNNNNNNNNNNNNNNNNNNNNNNNNNNNNNNNNNNNNNNNNNNNNNNNNNNNNNNNNNNNNNNNNNNNNNNNNNNNNNNNNNNNNNNNNNNNNNNNNNNNNNNNNNNNNNNNNNNUUCAUGAUGCUGCUGCUCUCUGCAAAUACUUGGAAUCUUUCUACAUUUUGCGGAAAGUAAGACAAAAGUGUUGUCCUUGUUUGAUGUUAUGUUGCAGACUCUCUAUGUUGUGCAUCAUACAUAUAUAUUCCUUUUUCCUUCCUUUGCAGCCGGUUGCUUCUACGAUGAACAUGCUGGCAGAUGCGUUUUACAAAUUAUUCGGCACAUCACCUGAUGAAGCUAGGAAGGAAAUUGGACAAGCCUAUUUUGACUGUCUGAGCCUUGGAGGUAGGUUUUCAAGUGACUCUACUGCUUUGAUCGGUGGUCUUAUUGCUAGCCCACUGCAUCUGGUUAUCCACUUCCUUGUUGCUGUUACUCAUGGAGUUGGUCAUCUACUGUUGCCAAUUCCAUCAGUCCGGGGAUUACGUGGUAGUGCGAGACUGAUUUCUGUAAGUAGUGAAAGUUUCUAGUUUAGUUUAGCUGCUUAAAUGUUCUUAUGAGAAGUUGAGGACUCAUUUUGUGCUGCUUCCUUUUAUUUCAGUCUGCUGCAGGUAUCGUUCUCCCCCUCAUGAAAGCAGAAGGGGUUAGGCAAACGUUCUUCCCUUCUACUUUUCCUGCAUAUUAUAGAGAUCCUCCUGCCCAACUGAAACAAUAAGAAGAUGGAUGGCUGGACAGGUCAAGCUCAGUAUGGUGCAGUUUCUACCUCCUUAUUUUAUGCAUAUGUGCCAUGGUCCAUGGUUUAUUCGUGGGAAUGUAUGUGAUGUAUAUUGGGACUACUAUGUGUGUGUGUAUGUAUGUAUGCUGAGAUCUCUGAUUACAGUCGUGUGUUGUGAAGACAAAACAUGUUUCCACACCUUAUAAAACAUAUGCAGUGAUGAUGUGAAUUAAGCUCCCAAAUUAUCUGUCUCCAUAUCGAAAUUGUCACUGUCACCAGCUUGCUUGCAUGCGAAAAAUCUAUGCCCAGAGGAUUCAAGACUAAUCAUUCCAGUGUCCAGCACAAUCAGUGAUGUGUUUAUAUAUCCAUCACCAAACUAGUAACAGUAAACAUAAGAAUUUAUUAUUUUAUACAAAUUUUAAUAUUAAAAUUUAAAAAUAGAUAAUAAUAAAUGUAAUGCUAAAAUAUGAAAUAAAAUAUCUCUAAAUUGAUCGAUGAUCGAUAACAAUAAAAUAUGCUAAGAAAUUUCUAUUGAUCGAUCGAUAAUCAGAAUCCAAUCAUAUUUAUAAUAUAUCUUAUUUAAUUAAAAAAAUUCAAUAAUAUAUUGUACGAUAAGUAUUCCCUAUGAUGCAAUUAUAAAAUGAUAGACUUGACAUCAGAUGAGAACAAAAAAAUAGAGGCAUGGAUGUUUACCCUACAUCAUUCUGGAAGUUAGGUUCCUCUUCGUAUAGAAUUUGAGUUGUAUGAGAGAUGAUCGUAUACAAGUAUGCCUCGAUUUAGUUACUUUUGUUUGUUGUUUGCAGUGCACACCUUACUUAUAGGGAGUAAUCUUUCGAUCAAUGAGUCUCUCAAGUAAUUGUUUUAUGAAAGCCAACAUAAAGCAAUUUAUUUAUAGAGAGCAGUAAUCUUUGAUCACGGAUUCUCUCAAGUAAUUGUUUUAUGAAAGCCAUGUAAUCGUUCUCGUUAAGAUUCAUAAUUUUUUUAUUUAUUUAUUAUGAUUUAAAUAUUUUUAUUUUUUUAUUCAUUAUAAAUGAAAUCAUUAUUAUUAGAUAUUUUAUUUAAUAUCAUUAUAAUUCAUCAUUAUAAUUCAAACGUUAUAAAUUUGAAUUAAUUGUUGAACGUUAUGAGUUGGUAAUAAUAAAUAUUCUUAAUGGGAGAAUAUAUAUAUAAAUGAAGAUUUUGGUCCUUGAGCUUAACAUCUCUUUGAGGUCCGAAGGAUUUCCUACACCAUCUAAAGCAAGAGUUUUAAACCAAAAAAUACCAAAGUUAGAAAAGAAAGACAAUGGCUAGAGGUACACUAUUUCAUUUCCGUAUUAAUUUUCUUAUGUUUCUAUUAUAAUAAUUUAGAAACAUAUUUUGGUAUAAAAAAAUAUCUAACAAGCCAACGUAAAGUCCACCUACAAAUAACCCACCCAUGAAUAGGAGAAGCAGUGGUAAAUUGCUCGGUGUGAUGAUUUGAAUCACCUGUAUUGAUCUCCUAUGUACUGUGGUCUUCUGCUCCCUUUUUUUUCCUGCAUUAACCACUAUACUUGGAUUACUACUAUCUUUUGUGUGUUUUUUCCAAGUCAAACAUGGAGAAGGCUACUAUAUUGCUCUGAACACUUUUUAUUUGGUGAUCAAGCUUUUGCAGAUUGCAAAUGUUAUGAAGUCAUCUUGCAGUAGUUUCAAGUGUUCGCAACUGAUCCACAGGCAUCCAUAUGAACACUAGCUGUUUUGUCUUGUGCAUUCUUUAGCCUCUCUGCGUCGGGUGGGAACUAAUUUAGAGUGCCUGAGAUGUGUUGCAGGUAAAUUGCCUUUGUUCAUAUUUGGUCCUGCCUAGUUUGUUGCUUUCAAAGCUGAUGGAUGAGCUUAUUAUUCUGGUUUGCAGUUCUGGUGAACCCCUGCUUGAUGAGCACAGCUGAUGGAUGAGCUUAUUCUGUCUGGCCUGCUGUUGUGGGAAUCCCUGCUUGAUGAGCUUAUUCUAGUUCUUAGUUGUUCUUGUCUGGUUUGAUGAACACAGCUAGCUCUCUGAUGCUUUGUGGUGUGGGCUUCCAUCUGUCUUCCCUCCCUCCUGAUUUAAACCCAAAAUUCUUGCUUGUGAUGUGUUCGAUUACGGAUGUAAUUGGAGGAGAGAUUGUCCAUCGGAUCUGUGUGCUAAUCAAUUUUCUAUCUAGGAAGAAAAUUCUUACCAUCCAAAUUGUUCCUCUUUGUUCUUCUGAUUCCAUUGCAUCUUUCUCAUAUGCUCUUCUCAUGUUCCAAUCAUCCAACACGACCUCGACUUUCUAUUCAAGUCUACUAUUCCUCCCAUCCAAAGCUGUGAUUCCGCUGUCUCCACCAGCUCCUUGUGAACAGUCGCCGUCAUUGUACAGUUCGAUUUUGACGACAACUCAAGAAAUAAUUCGUGAAUGGCGGAAGAGAAAUGGGGUAGUUGAGAUCUGAGAGGGGAGGCGACGUGGCCGUAUUGGCGACGACACGAUUUCGAAAGUGUGAUUGGUUCCGUUUUAAUGACCGAUAUAAUGGUCGUCCUUUUUUACGGCUAAAAAAGGCAAGCGUCAAAUAUCACAGCGGAAGAUAAUGACAUGCGAAGUUCCGCAGUGAGUAGAGAGCGGAGCAACGUGAGGCUAAGAUAGAGCGGCGAAUGAUAUCCCUCUCCUUAUUUAGGUGUGGUUCGCGACGACGGGAGGGAGCAGGGAAGCCAGACACAGAGAGUGGGUGGGAGAAGGACAUGGAGGGAAUGUACCCAUUGGGAGUCAUCGCUGCUUCGAUCCUAGCGUUUCUCCUCCUCCUCGGGAUCCAUGGACGUUGGGGGAAGGGCCGGAAGGCCGCUGGAAAGCGCGAUUCCGGCAGGGUGGCCGCCGGGUUUGGCGGGGCCGAUGUUAUCGUCGUCGGCGCCGGGGUCACCGGCUCCGCUCUUGCUUAUGCGCUCGGGAAGGUGACGUGUCCGUCUUCUUUUUUCGCCAUUAAGCUUCCCAAUAGUUAGCAGAGCAGCCAAAACUAGGAUUUUUAGUCGAUGCCAACAUCACCACCCACGUAGCUAUCUGUGUAUUUAUAGCUUGAUAAGGGAAAGGUAAACCGGAAUCGUAACGUAAAGAGCGGCUUCAUGAUUCUGAUUGUGCAGGAUGGCAGACGUGUGCAUGUCAUCGAGAGAGAUUUGGCUGAGCCCGACAGAAUUGUCGGUGAAGCCUUGCAACCUAGAGGUUGCCUAAACUUACUUGAGCUAGGGCUCGAGGGUAAGGCACCCGGCUGACCAGUUGGAGAAUAUAUUUGAAUGAUUAGCUGCAAUUUUGGCCGUCAUGCUUGCGAUUUCAUACUCGUCCAUUAAUUUGUGCACUGUAGAUUGUGUCGACGAGAUCGAUGCUCAGCGGGUCCUUGGCUAUGUUCUUUACAAAAAUGGGAGAAGCGCCAAACUAUCAAUACCUCUGGAGAAGUAUCAUGUAGAUGUUGCUGCCAGGUGCUUCCAUCAUGGGCGUUUCAUCCAAAGAUUGCGAGAGAAAGCAGCGUCCUUGUCCAGGUUAUCUAUCAUCUAUUCUGAAACUUUCUACUAUCGUAGUGAUACUCUUUUUUAUUUCCCCGAUCAAACGAGACAUAGGUAUAAUGUUCGGUUGAAUGAUGUUAUACCUUAUAUGAGAUAUAUGAAGCAAUUUUCUAUUGAUUAGCUGUAAUCUUAUCCUUUUUUUGUUUUUUUGUUUUUUUGCAACAUUCAUUUAGCCUUAGACAGAAUUCUACUAAGUCUAAGAUUUUGUUUGAUGCCAAAAACAUUCCUUUAGAUAUCUUUUCAUUUAAGAACCUGAUGUUAUAAAAUUCAGCAGUUUGGUAUUGAUUGAAUACUUAGUCCAACUCGUAAAAGAGGCUGCAUGUGGUUUAUUAUGAAAUUUAACAGUUCAACAUUGAUCGAACACUUUGUCGAACCUCGAAUCUGUAAAAGAAGGUUUUUUUUGUUUUGGUUUUUGUGCAAAGGAUAAGUGGUGAUGAUAGGAUUUGAUCCUUGAACAUUGUUAGCUAACAUAUUCAUAGAGGCUUUUGUUAAUGAUCAAUCCAUAUGAAGUUUUGAGUAAGGCAUUCAAGGCGCCCUGCAUCAUGCUUAAUUUUCAGUUACUAAUUGAAUAAUUGAAUUUAAAAAAAAGGAUGUAUCAGUAGGUCAAUUAUUGGAAAGGAAAAGUAACAAAGAAAUAAUCUUCAAUAUCAGUAAACGCUUUUCCUAUACUAUACUAUUCAGCUAUCGACAUUGAGCUGAUUAGAUGGAUCAGAUUAGGUACAAUGAUGCUGGUACACUGAAGCAUCAUCGGAUUAGGCAAACAUUUUUCCUGUUACUCUUAAUACUGGUACAAUGAAGCAUCAUUAGGAUGCAAAUCAUCACUGUUCCAUAAACUAAAUUUCAUAUACAUUUGGAGACUUUUUGCUUCUAUAUAUCUUUAAAAGAAAUUAAAGUUCAACCCCUUCUUUUCCAGUGUUCAGUUGAAGCAGGGAGCUGUGACAUCCUUGAUUAAAGAAGACGGAAUAGUUAAGGGGGUAGUUUACAAGACUAAAUCUGGUAAAGAAUCGAAAGCUUUUGCACCUCUUACAGUUGUAUGUGAUGGCUGCUUUUCGAAUCUGAGGCACACACUCUGUUCCUCCAAGGUAAAAAUAAAUAGAGAACUUGAAGUUUCUUUUCUUUUUCAUUUCUCUCUUCUAAUAACUGCAUUUAUUCAUUGUAACGAUUUGCCAAAAAACUCACCAGAAGUAUCUCUUUUUGACAUUNNNNNNNNNNNNNNNNNNNNNNNNNNNNNNNNNNNNNNNNNNNNNNNNNNNNNNNNNNNNNNNNNNNNNNNNNNNNNNNNNNNNNNNNNNNNNNNNNNNNNNNNNNNNNNNNNNNNNNNNNNNNNNNNNNNNNNNNNNNNNNNNNNNNNNNNNNNNNNNNNNNNNNNNNNNNNNNNNNNNNNNNNNNNNNNNNNNNNNNNNNNNNNNNNNNNNNNNNNNNNNNNNNNNNNNNNNNNNNNNNNNNNNNNNNNNNNNNNNNNNNNNNNNNNNNNNNNNNNNNNNNNNNNNNNNNNNNNNNNNNNNNNNNNNNNNNNNNNNNNNNNNNNNNNNNNNNNNNNNNNNNNNNNNNNNNNNNNNNNNNNNNNNNNNNNNNNNNNNNNNNNNNNNNNNNNNNNNNNNNNNNNNNNNNNNNNNNNNNNNNNNNNNNNNNNNNNNNNNNNNNNNNNNNNNNNNNNNNNNNNNNNNNNNNNNNNNNNNNNNNNNNNNNNNNNNNNNNNNNNNNNNNNNNNNNNNNNNNNNNNNNNNNNNNNNNNNNNNNNNNNNNNNNNNNNNNNNNNNNNNNNNNNNNNNNNNNNNNNNNNNNNNNNNNNNNNNNNNNNNNNNNNNNNNNNNNNNNNNNNNNNNNNNNNNNNNNNNNNNNNNNNNGAUGAACAUGCUGGCAGAUGCGUUUUACAAAUUAUUCGGCACAUCACCUGAUGAAGCUAGGAAGGAAAUUGGACAAGCCUAUUUUGACUGUCUGAGCCUUGGAGGUAGGUUUUCAAGUGACUCUACUGCUUUAAUCGGUGGUCUCAAUGCCAGCCCAUUGCAUCUGGUCAUCCACUUCCUUGUUGCUGUUACUCAUGGAGUUGGUCAUCUACUGUUGCCAAUUCCAUCAGUCCGGGGAUUACGUGGUAGUGCGAGACUGAUUUCUGUAAGUAGUGAAAGUUUCUAGUUUAGUUUAGCUGCUUAAAUGUUCUUAUGAGAAGUUGAGGACUCAUUUUGUGCUGCUUCCUUUUAUUUCAGGCUGCUGCAGGUAUCGUUCUCCCCCUCAUGAAAGCAGAAGGGUUUAGGCAAACGUUCUUCCCAGCUACUUUUCCUGCAUAUUAUAGAGAUCCUCCUGCCCAACUGAAACAAUAAGAAGAUGGAUGGCAGGACAGGUCAAGCCCAGUAUGGUGCAGUUUCUACCUCCUUAUUUAUGCAUAUGUGCCAUGGUCCAUGGUUUAUUCGUGGGAAUGUAUGUGAUGUAUAUUGGGACUAUGUGUGUGUAUGUAUGCUGAGAUCUCUGAUUAGUGUUGUGAAGACAAAACCUUAUAAAACAUACGCAGUGAUGAUGUGAAUUAAGCUCCCAAAUUAUCUGUCUCCAUAUCGAAAUUGUCAUUGUUACCAGCUUGCUUGCUUGCUUGCGAAAAAUCUACGCCCAGAGGAUUCAAGACUAAUCGUUCCAGUGUCCAGCAUAAUCGGUGUUGUGUUUAUAUAUCCAUCACCAAACUAGUAACAGUCAGCAUAAGAAUUUAUUAUUUUAUACAAAUUUUAAUAUUAAAAUUUAAAAUUAAAUAAUAAUAAAUUUAAUGCUAAAAUAUGAACUAAAAUAUCUCUAAAUUGAUCGAUGAUCGGUAACAAUAAAAAUAUGCUAAGAAAUUUUAUUAUAAUUUGACUUCAUUUCUAUUGAUCGAUCGAUAAUUAGAAUCCAAUUAUAUUUAUAAUAUAUCUUAUUUAAUUUUAAAAAUUAUUUAAUAAUAUAUUGUACGAUAAGUAUUUCCCGUGAUGCAAUUAUAAAAUGAUAGACUUUGACAUCAGACGAGAACAAAAAAAUAGAGGCAUGGAUGUUUAUCCUUAACGAUUAGGAGCUGUUAUGAUAGAACAGUAAAUGGUCCUGCAGAAAAGACAUGGAGGCAAAACUUAUUGAUCCAUCCAAGAAUCCAUCAAUCAACAUGUAACUCAAGUGGGAGGAAGAAAACAAGCUGCAGACCAUCUUAAUACCUACACAAGUUUUAUCACCACAAAAAUGCUGACAUCUCCCUCGUGGAAGCAAAAUCACAAACAAUUUCAGUCCUCUGGGAUCAUGUUUGGACGGUUGACUAGAUUUUCCUGAUCAGAGAUUUAUGUUCAUUCAUGUCUUUUGUAGUUCCCAUGUCCAGUAAUAUUUUAAUAACUCUUGCUUGGGAAGAUAUUUGGAAUUCUACAUGCCCAUUUUUCUAUUCUGAUGGAUGGAUGUAUGGAUGGAUGGAUGCUCUUUAGUCGUAGCCUACAUCAUUCUGGAAGUUAGGUUCUUCUUCGUAUCGAAUUUGAGUUGUAUGAGAAUGAUCGUAUACAAGUAUGUCUCGAUUUUGUUACUUUUGUUUGUUGUUUGCAGUGCACACCUUAUUUAUAGGGAGUAAUCUUUCGAUCAAUGAGUCUCUCAAGUAAUUGUUCUAUGAAAGCCAACAUAAAGUAAUUUAUUUAUAGAGAGUAGUAAUCGUUCUCGUUAAGAUUCAUAAUUUAUUUUCAUAUUUUUUUAUUUAUUAUGGUUUAAAUAUUUUAUUUUUUUAUUCGUUAUAAAUAAAAUUAUUAUUAUUAAAUAUUUUAUUUAAUAUCAUUAAAAUUUAUUAUUAUGAUUCAAACGUUAUAAAUUUGAAUUAAUUUUUGACCGUUAUAAGUUGAUAAUAAUAAAUAUUUUUGAUGGGAGAACAUCUAUAUAAACGAAGAUUUUGGUCCUUGGACUAACAUCUCUUUGAGGUCUAAAGGAUUUCUUACACCAUCUAAAGCGAGAAUUCUGAACCGAAAAAUAUCAAAGUUCAAGAAAAAAUUCUUGACAAUGGCCGGAGAUACACUAUUUCAUUUUCACAUUAGUUUACAUAUAUUUUUAUUAUAAUGAUUUAAAAAUAUAUUUUGGUAUCAAAAAAUAUCUAAGAAGCCAAGCAACGAAGCGAAUAACCCACCCAUGAAUAGGAUAAGCAGUGGGAAAUUGCUUGGUGCGAUGAUUUGAAUCACCUAGGAAACAUCCGUAAUCAUCCAAAAUUACGGAUUUUUUUCACCUAAGAAACAAAUUCUGGCCCUCCAAAUUGUUCCCUUUUGUUCUGAUGAUUCCAUUGCAAUCUUUCUCAUAUGCUCUUCUCAUGUUCCAAUCAUCCAAAAUUGUCAUGAACUUGACCUCCAGUUUUCUAUCCAAGUCCUAUUAUUCCUCCCAUCUAAGAUUGGGAUUCCACCAUCUCCAUGUGAACCGAUGUGCUCAUUGUAACUCUUUGGCUGACUCCAGAAACGCCACCGCUUCAUAUCACCGCCCACCGCCCACCGCCCUGCCGAAAUGAUACGUGGAUACGACUGGGGGUGGUUGAGAUCUGACAAUCGGACGCCACGUGGCGAUAUUGGCGACGAGUUUUAAUAAUCGAUAUAACUGUCAGACCUUUUUAUCGCUAUAACUUCCUAUAAUCGACGAGUUUUAAUAAUCGAUAUAACUUCCGCAUUGAGGAAAGAGCGUCGCAACGUUAGGUUAAGGUAAGAGCGGCGACCGAUAUCCCUCUCCCUAUUUAUAGGUGUGGUUCGCGACGACGGGAGGGAGUAGGGAAGCGACACACGGAGACUGGGUGGGAGAAGGAGAUGGAGGGAAUGUACCCAUUGGGAGUCAUCGCUGCUUCGAUCCUAGCGUUUCUCCUCCUCCUCGGGAUCCAUGGACGUUGGGGGAAGGGCCGGAAGGCCACUGGAAAGCGCGAUUCCGGCGCGGUGGCCGCCGGAUUUGGUGGACCCGAUGUUAUCGUCGUCGGCGCCGGGGUCAUCGGCUCCGCUCUUGCUUAUGCGCUCGGGAAGGUGACGUCUCCUUCUUCUUUUAUCGCCAUUAAGCUUCCCAAUAGUUAUUAGCUGAGCAGCCAAAACUAGGAUUUUUAGUCGAUGCCAACAUCACCACCCACGUAGCUAUCUGUGUAUUUAUAGCUUGAUGAGGGAAAGGUAAACCGGAAUCGUAACGUACAGAGCGGCUUCAUGAUUCUGAUUGUGCAGGAUGGUAGAUGUGUGCAUGUCAUCGAGAGAGAUUUGGCUGAGCCGGACACAAUUGUUGGUGAAGCCUUGCAACCUAGAGGUUGCCUAAACUUAUUUGAGCUAGGGCUCGAGGGUAAGGCACCCGGCUGACCACUUGGAGAAUAUAUUUGAAUGAUUAGCUGCAAUUUUGGCCGUCAUGCUUGCGAUUUCAUACUCGUCCAUUAAUUUUGUGCACUGUAGAUUGUGUCGACGAGAUCGAUGCUCAGCGGGUCCUUGGCUAUGUUCUUUACAAAAAUGGGAGACUCGCCAAACUCUCAAUAUCUCUGGAGAAGUAUCAUGUAGAUGUUGCUGUCAGGUGCUUCCAUCAUGGGCGUUUCAUCCAAAGAUUGCGAGAGAAAGCAGCGUCCUUGUCCAGGUUAUCUAUCAUCUAUUCUGAAACUUUCUACUAUCGUAGUGAUACUCUUUUUUAUUUCCUCGAUCAUACGAGACAUAGGUAUACUGUUCGGUUGAAUGAUGUUAUACCUUAUAUGAGAUAUAUGAAGCAAUUUUCUAUUGAUUAGCUGUCAUCUUAUCAUUUUUUGUUUUUUGUUUUUUUGCAACAUUCAUUUAGCCUUAGACAGAAUUCUACUAAGUCUAAGAUUUUGUUUGAUGCCAAAAACUUUCCUUUAGAUAUCUUUUCAUUUAAGAACCUGAUGUUAUAAAAUUCAGCAGUUUGGUAUUGAUCGAAUACUUAGUCCAACUCGUAAAAGAGGCUGCAUGUGGUUUAUUAUGAAAUUUAACAGUUCAACAUCGAUCGAACACUUUGUCGAACCUCGAAUCUGUAAAAGAAGGUUUUUUUUGUUUUGUUUUUUGUGCAAAGGAUAAGUGGUGAUGAUAGGAUUUGAUCCUUGAACAUUGUUAGCUAACAUAUUCAUAGAGGCUUUUGUUAAUGAUCAAUCCAUAUGAAGCUUUGAGUAAGGCAUUCAAGGCGCCCUGCAUCAUGCUUAAUUUUCAGUUACUAAUUGAAUAAUUGAAUUUUAAAAAAAGGAUGUAUCAGUAGGUCAAUUAUUGGAAAAGAAAAGUACUAAAGAAAUAAUCUUCAAUAUCAGUAAACGCUUUUCCUAUACUAUACUAUUCAGCUAUCGACAUUGAGCUGAUUAGAUGGAUCAGAUUAGGUACAAUGAUGCUGGUACACUGAAGCAUGAUCAGAUUAGGCAACACAUUUUUCCUGUUACUCUUAAUACUGGUACAAUGAAGCAUCAUUAGGAUGCAAAUCAUCACUGUUACAUAAACUAAAUUUCAUAUACAUUUCAAGACUUUUUGCUUCUAUAUUUCUUUAAAAGAAAUUAAAGUUCAACCCCUUCUUUUCCAGUGUUCAGUUGAAGCAGGGAACUGUAACAUCCUUGAUUAAAGAAGACGGAAUAGUUAAGGGGGUAGUUUACAAGACUAAAUCUGGUAAAGAAUCGAAAGCUUUUGCACCUCUUACAGUUGUAUGUGAUGGCUGCUUUUCGAAUCUGAGGCACACACUCUGUUCCUCCAAGGUAAAAAUAAAUAGAGAACUUGAAGUUUCUUUUCUUUUUCAUUUCUCUCUUCUAAUAACUGCAUUUAUUCAUUAUAACAAUUUGCCAAAAAUUUCACCAGAAGUAUCUCUUUUUGACAUUCACUUGUAUUUUGACAAGAAUUUGUACACGUAAGCUGUGGUUGUAGCACUGAUAAAUUUCAUUCUUACAGGUGGAUGUACCUUCUUAUUUUGUUGGUUUGCUUUUGGAGGACUUUCAACUUCCAUUUCCGAACUAUGUGCACUUUAUCUUAGAGGAUCCUUCAGUAGUAUUGUUCUACUCAAUAAGUAGCACAGAGACUCGCUGUUUGGUUGAUGUCCCUGGGCAGAAGGUUCCUUCUAUUGCGAAUGGUGAAAUGGAAAAUUAUUUGAAGACUAUUGUGGCACCUCAGGUACUUUUGAGUGAGCAUUGCAAAUUAAGAUGAUGUCUUGUCGCAUUAAGGAAAUUUCUGUGCAAUUAUUGUUGUGAAUUCUAGCAUUCUGGUUAAUCCAGGUUCCGACUGAGCUGCGUGAUGCUUUUGUUGCGGCCAUUGAUAAAGGAAACAUCAGAACUAUGCCAUGCAAGAGCAUGCCAGCUGAUGCUCAUCUUACACCCGGAGUCCUCUUGAUGGGGGAUGCAUUCAAUAUGCGCCAUCCCCUAACUGGUGGAGGAAUGACGGUGGGCUUAUCUGAUGUAAUCGUGCUACGUGAUCUUCUUAGGCCUCUCCAUGAUCUCCAUGAUGCUGCUGCUCUCUGCAAAUACUUGGAAUCUUUCUACAUUUUGUGGAAAGUAAGACAAAAGUGUUGUCCUUGUUUGAUGCUGUGCUGCAGACUCUCUAUGUUGUGCAUCAUACAUAUAUUCCUUUUUCCUUCCUUUGCAGCCGGUUGCUUCUACAAUGAACAUGCUGGCAGAUGCGUUUUACAAAUUAUUCGGCGCAUCACCUGAUGAAGCUAGGAAGGAAAUUGGACAAGCCUAUUUUGACUGUCUGAGCCUUGGAGGUAGGUUUUCAAGUGACUCUACUGCUUUAAUCGGUGGUCUUAAUGCCAGCCCACUGCAUCUGGUCAUCCACUUCCUUGUUGCUGUUACUCAUGGAGUUGGUCAUCUACUGUUGCCAAUUCCAUCAGUCCGGGGAUUACGUGGUAGUGCGAGACUGAUUUCUGUAAGUAGUGAAAGUUUCUAGUUUAGUUUAGCUGCUUAAAUGUUCUUAUGAGAAGUUGAGGACUCAUUUUGUGCUGCUUCCUUUUAUUUCAGGCUGCUGCAGGUAUCGUUCUCCCCCUCAUGAAAGCAGAAGGGGUUAGGCAAACGUUCUUCCCUGCUACUUUUCCUGCAUAUUAUAGAGCUCCUCCUGCCCAACUGAAACAAUAAGAACAUGGUGAUGGCCAGGACGGGGCCAACCUCAGUGUCUACCUUCUUCCCCUUAUUUCUGCAUAUGUGCCAUGUCCAUGGUUUAUUCGUCGGAAUGCAUGUGAUGUGUAUAUAUAUGUAUAUAUUUGUAUAUAUUGGGAACAUAUGUGAGAAUAUACUAGUAUUGGGAUUAUGUGUGUAUAUGUAUGCUGAGAUAUCUGUAUAAAACAUAUGCAGUGCUUAUGUAAAUCAAGCUCCCAAAUUAUGUGUCUCCACAACAAGAUUGCAUCGCUGCCACCAGCCUGCUUGCUCGUAAAAAUAUACCCUCCAGGGGAUUCAAGAUCAAUUAUUCGAGCGUCCGAUCGUAUUGCAUGAUAAUUAUUCCCCAUCAAGGAUUGAAUGAUUAAAUGAUAAGACCUGACAUCAGAUGAGCACAAAACACGAGAGGCACGGAUGUUUGCCCUUCUGGACUGGGACCAGUUAUGAUGUAGCAGUACAUGGUCCUGCAUAAGACAUGGAGGCAAAAUUUAUCGAUCCAUCCAAGAAUCCGUCAAUCAACAUGUAACUCAAACAAGCUGCAGACCAUCUUAAUAUCUACCCAAGUUUCACAGAAAUGCUGACAUCUCCCACUCUAGCAAUCGAAGGAUUGGACAAGAAAUUAGCUAGCAAUCGAAGAACUUGUACAAAUGAUGCUCUGCCAUCAAGGAGUGACGCUGUUAUUGCUCAGGACCAAUUUUGUUCUCAUGUCAUAUACAACCCAAAUAAAAUGAGCCCAUCCACUUCAGUUGCUCCAAUGCAUCUAAGGAUGAAUUCACAAUAUCAUAUUGCCUCGGUUUGAUAUUCCACAUGACUAGCUUGAAGUGAAAGAUCCAACCAUUGUCAAGGGUGAAGAUGCACGCAUGCGGGAUGCAUCACAAACUAAGAUAUUGCAAUAUGUUAUCGACGAACAGCGCUAGUGAAGGUUGACUCAUACAGCAAAAUAAUACUACUCGGUCGAUAAAUUUAAUAUGUAUCUCGGUCAUGAGUGUUCCAACAACUGCAAAGAGUCGAACUAAACUGGUUACAGAUGAGGGCAAUGUAUUUAUUCUUUGAAGUCACUAUGAAGCUCCUAGUUUAACUUCAUUGUCCAACCCAUCUUGUCCUCUGUAAGGCCCAUCUGUAAACUGGUAAGUGAAGAGUAGACCUGUUGAGACACAACCCCGAUUCCGUUGUUCUUGUACUCAACCCUGCAUCAAUUUAACACAGCAAGAUAAGACGACUGAACCAAACAGCAUUGAGAACUAUUGGAAGUGGCAGACAAUUAGGUACAUGAGCAUAUAGAGAACAGGUGGAAGACAAUUAUCAGAAUGGAAGUGGCAGGAAGUGACCGUGAAAAGCCUUCCGAGAUACAGAAAACCAGCUUUUAAGGCAAAAGGAAUAAUAAAAAAGAUGCACCACACCGAUCUCAAAUAAUUAGGCAAAGCUUGACUAACAUCAGAAUUAAUGCGCUUCUUCAAGAAUAUGGCAGAGUAACCACAAAACUGAGAAACCAAAAGGAUAUCUAAGAGGCUCCCUCCAGUGAAUAUCCUGUUUCAGAUCUUCAAACAUCUAAAGUAGAAAGCAACCUCAAAAGUUUUAUCCCUAGAUCCAAUUGGUAAAACAUAUAAUAUAUCCGGUAUCAAAAGAAGAAUGGAACUACAAGAGAGAUAGAACAUACUUUCUUCCCAAAUAUGUUAUACUUCCCACAGGAGAAACAACAACUGCCGUUCCCGUACAAAAAACUUCAUCAGCAUCAAGCAGUUCUUCCACUGACACAAGACGCUCCUCAACCUGCAAAGUUGUAUGACUACCAUGAGGAGAAAGGUAUAAUGAUUAUGAAAAAGACAAUAUUUUUUAUUAUAAUACUAUCAUCGGGCAACUACAUAUUCACAAGUUGGUUAAAAAUUCUGCUUUAGGAAAAGAAUAAAUUGAGCAGAAAAAAAAUAAUAGAUUCAACUAAUAUCAACAAACAUAAAUGAUUAAUAAUUAACUAAAUCUAUACCAACUUCAAUAUAAGAAUGCUCAAAUGGAGGCAGAAGGAAAAAAGAAGCAAAAAAAAAAAAGCAACAUGAGGAUUUUUAACAUAUAUAUUCAACCCUGAACCUACAAAAGUAAGCACAAUUGUUUUCUUUUUUCCAUCAAGCUAUUAUGUGAAGCAAUGAACACACCAAAAUCCUUUUAUGAAGUAUGUAAAAGACAAUUGGACUCAAUACCUGAUAGCCUUGACCACGAGCAACAUCAAUUAUACUUUUCCUUGUAAUGCCUGGCAAUAUUGUUCCUUUUAUUUCUGGUGUUGAAAUGAUUUUGUUCUGUCAAAGAAAAAGUCAUUCAAUGUCAUAAAAAUUUGGACUGCCUGCAACAAUAGUGCCCGAAGAAGAAAAGAUACUGUCCAAAGCAGCUUACUAAAAGAUUCUAUAGUCAACUGUCAUCCAUGCACAAGAAGAAAGAUAAGCUUUGUCACUGAUUAUCACAAGAAUUGACAAAGCAAAUUUCAAAAGGAAUAAAGAAUAUAUAGAAGAGUUUAAUAUUUAAAACAACCAAAGAAUAUAGUUCUGAAGUACAGCAUAUGAUUUAGCUAAAAGGCCAGCAUGUGAUGAUGCAAAAAGUACACUUCAGAAAUGUAUUUUAUUUAUACACUGCGUCAAGGAGUAUUGUACAUUUUGCCAAGAAAGUAACCCUUAAACAAAUGCCGAUAUAUGAAAGACAAACACUGAAAAGUUGAAGCACUUCAAGAAAUGUUUUAAUUCUAGUUCAAUCAUGAAUUGAUUAAGUAUUAGCAGAUUAAGUAACAAAAUAAAGCUGUAAUUUCAUGCUUUGGUGCCAGGUGGAAACAUCACCAAUUGCAAAUAGUUCAGGUACAUGCUUCAAAGCAUCAUAGACAAACAAGAGAAUUCAUAGCAUCCAUACCUUCACGACAAAAAUAUUACAAGAUGAAACUUCCUCCAGAUACUUCUUAUGAACAGAGUCAAGAUACAAAACGUCAGAGUAGCCAUUCUCUUUAGCUCUCUUUUGUGCUUUCAGGACCUACAUAAAGAUGAGCAGAGAGGAAUCAUAUUACCAAGAAUGUAGACCAUAACAAUCCAAGUUUUACUAAGGACUUGAACUUGAAAUUGCCAAAGCUUAUCACUUAGCACUUUCAAUUGCACUAAGAAACAACUCAUGAUGGAAUAAAAUGAUAAAAGACAUUAAUAUUUAAUACAACAUCAACAUUCACAUGCAAGGGCCUCAAGGUUGCUAACCUAAGCAAAAAACAUGGUCUUGGAGAAGUGGCCCUUUAUCAUUGAUUGUACUGCUACAUCAAAAUCAUUUAUCAUCUCUAAAAACCCUGCCCAUUUCUCGAGUAUAUUAGCUGCUAUAAAACAGCUGAAAGGAUUAUUAACCAUGAAGUACUGCAUAACUAACAACUUCCAGUUUGCUUUUCUGGAUGUCUUGGUUAGGAUUAUGCAAUUUAUCCUCCAAAUUAAGCAUUAUAGGAGGGUUUUGAGAAUUAUGCAAUUACUCCUCCAAAUUAAGUAUUAUAGGAUGGUGGACUACAAAGUUUUGAAGUUUUACAAAACAUGUGGCCAGAAAAAAAUUCAAAAUUUCAUUUUUUAUUGUUGUUCUAGGACAUACAUGUGACGAAUUUCAUAAAUACAUAAAGAAAACAGGACAAUAAAUAAAAAAAAUCAAAAGAUCAUACUUAAUAAAAAAUUGCAAUACCAAAUGCACCUGACCACAAUGUACUCCUUGUUCUUUUGUAUUCUUUUUCAAAUUUUAAUAUAAAAAGUAUAAAGCCAAUUUCUAGAUAAAAUCAAUGUAUAAAGCCAAUGUACUUCUACCGUCCGAAUCCAUCUUUAAAAAUAUUCAUGCUCGAUCAUAUAGAUAAACAAAAUAUAAAAGAUACAGAGGAAUUAGUUGAAUUAAAACACUUCCAAGACAUAAACAAGUGGUUAGGCAAACAUUUCUCCGUAGAGAACAUGUUUCUUGUCUCGGUGCUAGUCAUUUAACCUGUAAGCUAAGAUAAUUUGAAGGCAGCCAUGUUGGUAGUAGGAGUUAAGUAUGAACAAGGGAGGACCUUAAUGGAGACUGCCAGGGUGAGUGCAAACAAAUAUUUCUUUACAUCUUUCUCCACUAAAAAUAUUAGCAGGUUUCACCAUUUUAAGAUCAUAAUUCUUUUUCUAUUGUAGUUUUUCUUUAUUACAACUAUACUUGAUUUCUUUGAAUUUUAUAAAAAAAAAUCACCAUCAAUGUUAUCAUCAGGCUGCCAGACAGAUUGAGUCAUCAUACCUCUUAAGUGCCUAGCCCUCUUUGGAUUUCAAGCCAAGCAAUCACUGAAACACCUAGAUGAGACCUUUGAUUUUCCCUUGUUACAUUUGAAGGUAAUUUUUUUUCAAAAAAAUCACAAAAAUUAGCAUGCUUGUCAUUUUAGGUAAUGCAACAUGUGCAGGUCUUGUUUAUGUACUUAGUACAGAAGGAAAGAACAUAUUUAUACAUAACAUGAAUAUGUUGAAUUAUACAUACUCUUAAUCAUGCAUGUUCUUAGCCAUAAUGCACAUUGGAUCUUCAUCGUUACAAUAGUGUUUAUACUUAUUUUUUGCUAGUAGUUCUAUGCAGCACUUUAAAAAUAUCAUCAAAUAAGUCACCUAUAAAAUUUAGAAUGAAAAUCUAACAACUCUUAGAAUUAAAAUUGGAUGACCAAUAUGAAACAAUGGGUAAUAAAAAUUACAUCAUAUAAAUUUACAGUAAAAAGUUAAUGCAGAAAGGCUGCAUAUGUUCAUAAUAUGUUUUGUGACAAUGUACAGAUUAUUAAAAUAUUUUGCAAGCAAUUUUUAUAUACAAGCACCAAAUCUAAUAUUAUCUUAAGAACUUUUCUCUAAGCAUCUGCCGGUGUGCCUAAGUUUUCCACAUAAGCUUGUUAAAGGAUUACUGCUCAUGACUGCCUAAGCAUGUUAACAAAUUAUGUUUUUCAUGUUCUACUGAAUUUAGUGUGAAAUCCCUCUUUCAUAAAUGAAGCCUGCACAAACUUAUCAAUUUAAUGGAAGUUUCUGCAUUCUAAACAUUAUGAGGAACUGAAUCAUUACACUAAACAACUUUGAAGAAAUGAAGAAUAAACUAAAAUAGUAUAUAACUAGCAACUUCCAUGGCGAGCAAGUGCAAUGCCUUCUUUAUGAGCUCUAUAAAGUAUAAACUACACACUAGCGUGCCAUAAAAUAAUCUAUAGAUGAGCAUUAUUUAUAUGUAAGUCUUUAAUUUUAUAUUUUAAGUAUAGUGCAGUUCCAACUGACAGAAUUUACGAAGCAACAUACAGUCCAGACAUCCAAAUAGAGAUGAUAGUGUAAACACAGCCUAUCUUCUCAAAAGUGGUCCAAAAGUAAUUGUCAGACAAUACAUGACCCAUCAAGAGCAUAAUAGAAUGAGCAUAUGCAGAAAUGCCAACAACAAGCAGCUGUCUAACGACAAAAGGUAUGGUGUAAAGCUAUGCUUGCCUACGGUCUACAGCAGAUAAAGACCUUGAGCACAGUAAGAGCCUAAAUGCUAAAGCAGUUAUAAGACUCGCUUGUUCAACACUUGUAACAAGUUCACUUACCGAUGCAUAAUUUCCGAUAGUCUUUACACCUCCAGUUCCACCUGGGGCUGCACGGUGAAACUCAUUUUCAACUACCAAGUUUAUUGGAGCUAAGCCCUCCUGAAAAGCAUACUUCCACCUAUUAGUUUGUUCUUUGCCGAUGGAAACUAGUUCAUCAGAAUUUGUAACAAAAAAAUUUAAACGCAUGCGUAAAAACAUUGCAGCAUCAGGAGAAAGAGAUAAAGAAAAUAAAAGGCAUCAUAACAUCCACGUACAAAAGAUGGGUGAGAUUACAUAAGAAUGCAUAGUUUUUAUUUUUCAAUUGUUCACAUAUACUGGUUUGAUGAUAUCAUGUUCACUGGAAUUCUCCUUCAAUUUUAUCAAAUAAACCUGGAGAAAUUAGUAGCAUACGAUCAAUUAUUUCAAUAACUAACAAAGGGUACAGGAUGGAGAAAAAAGUGUUAUUACUCAACAACCUCCAGAAGAUUCAAUUUCCCAUCAUGAACUUAGGGAACUAUUUGUCCCCAAUAUCAAGCAAUUUCAGACAAACCUAGAUAACCAGGUAAUUAAUUUGUCCCAGCAAUUUCAGGUUGGAAGCAUCUGACGCCUUUGAAGAUUCACUUUCAUUUUUGCUUUUAUUUUUGGUAAUUAAUUCUUGAUUCUUGAUGCUGUAAUCUGGACACUUCUCAUGCCCUGAUCAAUGCAAGUUUUCUUUAGAACUUCAAUGAGGUCUCCUUAUACCUUCUUCAGAUGUUAUCAUACAAAGGUAGGCAUACAGUGCACGAUGCUGAAACAAGCAUCACAGUUACAGAUAUGACGAUGUUCUUUAUGUUAGCUGGAAAAGAAGUGAACCAACCUAGAUAACUUUCUAGAGAAGCAAAAGGCAAGGUUGACCAACCUUAAAAUAGUUCCCAACAGGUGAGACAAAUAUAAGAAAGGUGUACUCAGAAGCUGGUGCAAGACCAAGAACAGUACCACUCCCAAAAAGGAGUGGUCUAAUAUACAAGGAACCUUUACCUGUAGGUGGUACCUGCAUCGUAGAAUCAAAGCAGUUUAUGCAUCUUAAAUUCCAUAUAGAUAUGCUUAAACUUAAAGCUUGACAGUAGCAUUAAAACUACCCAGCGUUUAUUUGCCAAAACAGUGAGCUUCACGGCAUCAACAAAUUGCUCAACUGCUGGUGAAGGCAUGCACAUCCUCUCUGCACCCAUUCUCAUUCGCAAGGCAUUUUCAUGGGGUCGAAAAAGUAGAAUAGAUCCAUCUUCCUUCUUGUAUGCUUUUAAACCUUCAAAAAGUCCCUGAAAUACAAACCAUGAACAUUCUAAUAGACAAAAUUUAUUAAAUUCAUAAGAAUCCAAUAUGAUGCAUAACUUCGAAUUUCAAUACAUCUUGUAUUCAAGUGCAUGCAUGCAACAUACUAGCAUCAACCACAUGGUGAUCGGCAUCUAUUUUUUGUAUGAUUCUCAUUCAAAAGAUAGUCAAGAAGUCAAAGAAACAAACUCAGUAAGUCACUAGAAUGUUUGGGUACAAAAUUAACGAACUUUUUUCACAUCAAAAUCUCAGUGACCCUCAGAAACUUAAGUUUCUCGAUAUUAUGUUGAAUUUAAAAGACAAGAAAUCAGUACUCGAAGCAUAGAAAAACAGAAGGCAGAUCACAAUGCUUCCACUAAGUAUUUAUCAUCAACGGAGAUGAAAAACAAGACUGUAUUGAUUCCAUUUCCAACAAUUUGAAGCUUGUCUUCCCAAUUUUCAAAACUACGACUCAAAAAUACACCAAGUGUUUUUCAUUCUUUGAAAAGGAAAAAAUGGUGAUAGCAAAUUGAGAACCAUACACAUAUUAAAUUAAUUAUGUGAAAUGCUACCAUGAUUAUGCAAUUUAAAUGCAAAUAAGUUGUGAGUUUCUAAUUCUUUACUAACCUGCCCAUAAUUUAAUACUCCAGAUGAUGGACUCAAUUCAAUGGGCCCAUAACGAAGCAAUUCACCUUUUGUAAAUAUUCCAUCCUGGGAACAUUUGGAAAUGUACAUAUGAUCAGUGGGCACCAGUCCAAAUCCAAGAUUAUCCCAGUCCAAAUUUAUAGUUUCAACAGUUUCCCUGCCCAAACGCACAAUUAUUAUCAGCAUUUACCAAACAGCAAAUAGAAACAUAAGAUACACUGAAAGGAAAACAUUAUAAAUUUACUAAUAAAUUGUUUUCAUCAUAAGAAAAGUAUAAUCUUAAAAAAUUAUUUUACCAAGACUUCAAAUACAAGUGCCCAUACCUGUGCCAGUACUAAAGAGUUGGUGAUAUGUGGAUACAAGUACGAUAACAGUACUUUUUAUCAUAGUUUGCAUUAUCGGUCCAUACCAGUGUAACGACUAGCUAUUGGUACGGUACAUACCGAGUAAUAUCGAACAUACCGACACACGAUAUACUAGGAUAUACUAAUGUACUGACCGUACCGAUCCUCUAUCGGAUUGGUACGUACCACCCGUACCGAGCGGUAUGCUUCGAUACAUCAAACCUUACGUUUUAUACACCAGUACGAUAUCAAAAUACUAUGGUACAGUCUAUGUACCUUAGUAUUUAAAACAUUACAUAUAUAUAAUGGAAUUAAAAAGAAAAAAGAGCAAGUUAUUUCAGACAAAUUUCAACAAUAAAUUAAUACAACAAAUGGAGAAUUACAUUAGCGACAAAUAAUGGAAGUCAAGCAUAUCCCAAUAACCAAAAACAUCAUCAACACUACUGAGUAAAUUGUACUCCCUCUUAUUUUGCAUAAAUAAAUUCAAAACAGGCCAAAACAAUUAACAUGACUAUCAGUUGCAUGGCCUGAAAAUUAUUACACUUAAAAAUUGUGCUCAAUGCCAACCAGUACGAUUGGUAAAAAGUUUGAAACAAAUCCAGUAGGAUAGAGCAAGUUAUUUCAGAUAAAUCUUGAUAAAAAAACUUAGCACACAAAAAUGGAGAUGUCAAAUAGCCACAACUAGAGAAAGUUAAGCUAUCAAAAAACCCAAAAGAAAACUCAUAAUCACUCAAAAUUUAGAAGGGAAGAGCUCCCUCCAAAUUUACCUAAAUAGAUUGAAAAUAGGACAAUUUCUUGCAAGCAACAUCAGUAUGAGUGGAACAGACUGCUGCCGGUUUUUUAUCUUAAGGGUUAUUCAUUCUCAAUUGCAGAUGCUCACAUGAAGAUAUCCAAUAUUGACAAAUGCAGUCGACAAUUUUAAGUGAUAAACAGAUUGACUAAGUAGAUUAGAGAAGUGAGUAAUUGUCUUACUCUUUCUUGUCUAAUAAAAUUGACAAUAUCUCCCCUUCAGUGAACUUUUGAAACUUACAAUUGAGCUUUGGCAUACUUGUGGAUAGAAUGCAAUGGAAAUACAGACCUGGACUUCAAAUUCAAAAAUAAAAUUACUGACGAAAGCCAUCACAUUGCAGUACCUUGCCACUAGCACACUCUUAUGCUGGACAUUCGGGUAGGCUAGAAGUCAAGCCCAAACAAUGAAAGAGCUAUAUCUCAUCUUUGUUAGCACAUCCACACAAACUUUACCUUUUAGCUGUAAGUAGGGAAUAACAAUAGCAGAGUUUGUGAAAGAAAAAUACGCAUGAGUUGACUAAACAGGCUUAUUCACCCAAAACUGACUGUUGUUCCUAUGCUCAUGCAAAUUCAUGACAUUUAACUUAAGAGUAAUUUCAAUAUUCGUGAUGUUUGACUUAUAUCAGUACAACAAUGACAACAAGAAGCCAAAAUGUGCCAACUAUUUAGGGUUGGCUACAAGGAUCUUUUGCCACAAGAGAUAAAAUCAAAUUAAUUGUUUAGAAGCGUCACUAAAGAUGAUAGGAAAAAAUAUUUUUUUGAAAAAACUUGAAAAUAUAGGAACAUGACGCAUAGAGAUCCUGCUCAACAAUAUCACAUCACACAGGAUGCAUAUAUACAUACCUGUAAACACUUGCUUCAGUUGCUUCACAUCUUAUUGUGCUAGAGGCCCCUAAAACAAGAGACGACAUGGAAUGAAACUGAUUUUGAAUCUGAAAAGAGUAAACAGAAAGUAUAAGUUCAACUUGGCAAACGUAUAAUCAACAACGCUAGGCUAACCAUCAAUUUUAAAUUCAAUAGUGUUUUAUAAACAUUUAUAAAUGCUACUGUUGGAAAAUAAAGCUACAGAAUAAAAACUAUUCUGAAUGCUACAUAACUAGACAGGAUGAGCUCUAGGAGGGGAAGAGCAGUUGGUAAAACUGCUUCUUCAGCAUACUUCCAAGUAAAUUGAUCAAAAACUAAAAAUACUUCAGUCCAAAAGUGACAUUUGAUCAAUGUUAAAACUGAAUAAACAGAUGACAUGGUUGAAAUUUAAAAGUGGGACUAGGAAAGUCUCGAAGUAGAGACAGGUAUGAAGCCAACAUAAACAACUUGAUUUUAUCCACAAAAGAUGUGAAUGCCACAAACGAAAAUUAAUAGUUAAAUCCCACAUAAUCAUAUGAUUUACAUAACAAGUUACAAAGCAGGAAAAAAAAAAACCUAUUAGCAGUUCAACAAAAAAGAAGGUUCAACUGAUUGAACUGAUUUAUGAAAUGGUCUGCAGAAAGGUUUCAAGUACCGGUUUCAGUUUUGUUGCUUUUACCACUAUCAAUGGUGGUAUGCUGCCUGCACAUCUCAUACAACUCAACUCAAAUAAGCUGCUGCCUGCCAGUUCCAAUUGUCACUUUUUUCAUUAUCCAACCAAGUUUUCUUUGUUAUUACGUUCCUCACAUGGCAACUACAAUUUGACUCAACUCAUAAUGCACGAAUAAUUAUGAAUGAGCAUUUUCCAAAACUAAUAAUAGAUUCAAAUCUUAAACUCACAUUUUUCUCCAAUCUCACAGUACCAACUAGCUGCUCAUGACACUUCAAAAACUAGGAUUAUCAGGAUAGAGAUGGAAAUACAACAGCACUCGGAAUACGGAGAAUUUAUUGAUCAGCCUAAGAUUAUUUAUCCACAUAAUGUCAUAAGCAAAUAGCACGAUGAUAGGUAGAAAACUCAUAUCAAUUACUUAUUUGAACCAAUGAGAUGCUCGUGAUUAUCACUUAAAAAAGUAAAAUGGGCAAUACUCGGAGUCAACAUCAGCUAAAAUGGCCCCUCUUGGCAAAUCAAACAUUACCAAGAUUGUCAAUUGUUAAGAAGAUCUCCAAAGAGUAGUACUAGACCUUUUUCCUUCGGAAAACACUGACACUAGUAUAAUGUCUCUAAUGGCAAACGUUAAGGUCAACCACCUUGCGACCAAGAAAUUAUGUGGCAGCACACUAGAUUGACUUCGACCAGCAAAUGAAGAAGCAACGAGAUGCAACUAAGAGAACGAUUAUGAGGAGAAACCUCCAAGAAAUCCGACCACAUCGGUUCGGAAAACACCCAAAUCAUCGAUCAGCAAGUUCUAAUCAAGCUAAAACCAGGAAUCUAGCGAACUAAUCACGAAGGAGGGAAAAGAAGAGGGACCUUGACGGAAGACGAGGAUGGAAAGUGGUGGCGCUUCCGGCCGGCGGCGAGGGACGCGGGGGGAAACGAUGAGGCGAGGAGAGAGCCAUGUUCAGCUCGUAGACGAUGGGGGAGGAGGCCGUGCUCCAUUCGAUCUCCGAUCCCCUCUCCCCGACACACACAAACACUCGCUUGUUCGGCUCUCCUCUCGAAGGUUUCGAGUAAGCAGAGGGACGUCGUUCUUCAAACAAACCCUCCUCUGCGAUCCGUGGCGGCGUGCGGUUUUGCGAUAUCGAUAACUUUCGGGGAGCCGUUACUAACCUAGUGGCGGAUCCUCUCCCACCGCGCUUGUAACCUGCUAUCAUCGAAUUCGAACCGCAUGCGCUCCAUCUGGGACGGACGCCUCCUCGUCGGUCAAUAGAAAUAGUGGGUCCCACACCUCCUCAGCGUCACUUCUCAUGGUUUGGACGGGCGAGCAAACAGGUGGCGUCCUUUCAUAGGUCUGUUGAAGGACGUGGGACCCAUGUCUUCCUCCAAUAGGAAGGCAGUCUCUAGCGACCGGUAACGUGCCGAGAGCUGACAAGUCAACCCACAUGUCAGCACGAAUUUUAAAGUGGUGUUCUUCUCUUGGUCGGUUUGGUGCAACCAAUUCGGUGAAAGCGAGCUUUGCAUCUAAAACCGGCUCGAUCCAAUCUUUGUGGGAGCCUAAACGGGCUGAUCAAAUCACAUCCUAACCCCGGUCGAUUAGCCCAUUGACAUUGAAGUUUCAAUUGGGCCGAGUCAAUGGGCUGCCCUACAACCACUACACAACGUGAAUAUCCAAUCCAUAUCGAGCACAGACUUAAUGAGUAAUUUCAAUUACUCAUUCAUGAAUAAAUAACUUUUCUAGUUUAAUUUUUGCCUUAUUAGAUCGAAAUCAACUACCUUUUCUAUAAAAAACCAUACGACUAAUUAGCGAUAAUUAGAAAAUAUGAUAUUACACAAGUCAAACCCAUAACUAAUAACAAAAAUCAUAAUCUAUCUACAAGAUUAUGCGAUAUAUCGAAGUCUUUUUCGACUGAGUUAGGUUAGCUAACACUUUCGAUAAAAGUGAUAAUAUAACAUGCUUUAAACUCGAACAUAAACCAAAGCUUAAAACAAUGAAACUAUAAUGAGAUGUCGAGAAUGAUUGUUACCAUCUUCUUCUCUUUCUUCCUUCAGAAAAAGUUGCACUAGCUUUGUGUUUCACUUGCAUCUCUCGACUCUAUGGGUUCUUAAAUAUGGAGACCACCAUCGAUUCCAUAUAUUAAUUUAUGGGUAAAUUAAAUGACUUCAUUAUAUUCGACCACUCACUAACUUAAAAGUUAGCCCGGAAUUAGAUGUUAAUUAGGAGAUUUUGUUGUAUUUUGUUCUUGUUGCUUUUGCUAAUUCCGUGUUUCACGAUUGUAGUGGGGGAGUCUCUAGAGAGAUGCCAUGGUCCAUUAACGCGUGGUUAGGGUACAUCUCUCCAUGGAGUCACGUCGAUAGUAACUACGGUGAAAGCCAAAAGGUGAGAUCAAACAGAGGGUCUUUGACCAUGCAUGAGUAUGGGGCAUAUUCUAUUAUAAAUCAAAUUUAAAGAAUGAUGAAUUCUCCUGAAAAAUUCGACUGAGCUAGAUUAGCUAACACCUUCGAUGUGAUCAAGCUUGUUAUAGGAUUAAAUGAGAGUGAUAAUAUAACAUGCUUUAAACUCGAACAUAAACCAAAGCUUAAAACAAUGAGACUGCAUUAACUCGAUACUGAUAAUGAGAUUCCGACUCUUCGAGUUCUUAAAUACGGAGACCUCCACCAAUUCAAUAUAUUAGUUUAGGGUAAAUUAAAUGACUUUGGUAUAAAUUCUGAUAUGGUAUCACCUACGUGGACUCAGGCAAACAGACAUGACGAUGCAGACGUGGAACUUCAAGUCUGAUGUGGCGCGUAGCACACACUUGACGGGGAACCACUCGUUGCCCCUCCGUACGAACGACAUCAUCACGGUAUAGUUGUCCCGGAAAGCUCAGGAUGGCAUCGCGUGGCGUCGAUUCGUGUAGGUCGGUCGGCGCUCGCACAAAAGCUUAAACCGAUCGUCUGAGAAGUCAAUCGUAGUUAAUUGAUUAUGUACAACCAACUCAUCCUCGUAGGUAUAAAAGCUAACCCUCCUUGAUCAGAAAUGCAAGACACUCAACUCCCCCUAAUUCCACAAUAUUAACUUGAACUUCGGAGAGGUCGAGUCAGGAAAUCCCCCUCUCGACCUCGACAUAUAUGCAGGAACCGAUAACGAAGCAGUUGCAAUCUGUCGAGAGAGAACCAUGCUCGAGAGACGAUGCUUGGACCUAACCUGACCUGACGUUAACAUGAUAUGAGCAUCCGUGUGGACAAUCUUGUGCAUUUAGGAUUGGACUGAACUGACACCUCGACCAUAGCUUAAAGAUUCACCAACAAAUUCGACCACUCACUAACUCCACGUAAAAUGUCAAUGAUAAAAGUUAAUCGAACUCAAGUCCGGAAUAAAAUGUUAGAUCAUUGGUUAAGGAGCUUUUGGUGUAUUUUGUUCUUGUUGCUUUUGCUAAUGCCGUGUUUUACGGUUGUAGUGGGGGAGUCUGUAGAGAGAUGCCAAGGUCCAUUAACGCGUGAUUAGGGUACGUCUCUCCAUGGAGUCACGUCAAUAGUAACUACGGUGGAAGCCAAAAGGUGAUCACAAAGGGGGUCUUUGACCAUGCAUGAGUAUGGGGCAUAUUCUAUUAUAAAUCAAAUUUAAAGAAUGAUGAAUUCUCCUGAAAAACUCAGACAUCCCAUAUUUUAUAUUUAAUUCGUAAUGAAUGUUCCUAUUUGUCAUAAUACCUGAAAUAUUUGUCUUUCGUAAGAUAAAUAAAACAAUAUUUGGUUUACAUCUUAUUAAUAAUCCUCCGUAUAUAAGAUUUAUAUUGUUAGUUAUAAUAUUAUUAAUAGUUUUAUAGUAUUUUUUAUACUUUCACUAAAACACUAUAAUCAUAUUUUACAUAUCCACCAAAAUAACAUAAUUAACUAAAGAAUUAAAUCAGCUUAGUUUACGGAUCAAUAGACACAUCAGGGAUUAUAACAAAUAAAUUGUAGUGUUUAGUUACAUCUUAUAAAUAAGAUUAUAUUGUUAGUUAUGAUAUGUUUAAUAGUUUUAUAGUAUUUUUUAUACUCGAAAGAAGGAUUUUUCUCUUGGAAUUCGCUAAUAUUUUUUUAAAAUAAAUCAAUAAUACGAGGAACACAUGCUUUAAGAUUCGUGUCCGUGUUGUUAGUCAUGCAUGCAUCUCAAUACAAGUCUUUACUUCCGUUCUCGUCUACUUAGAACUCUCGCAUGAUAUCUUGCUGUAAACGUCGACUCCACUCAAAUAUUCCUCGUCGUCAGCAUCAACAAGAGACAUACGUGGCCAUGAACUAAACCCUUUGAUCAUCGACAUGUCGAUCGAGUCGAAAUGUAGUAAGUAGGUAGGUGGACUCUCCUUCCACCUAACGAGUCCUUCCUUACAGGUGUGCAGCGUCUACAAUUUGACCCAUCACCGCAACGAGACAGUGGUUUUGUCUUCGCAGUCUCUUGUCUUUUAAUGUCGUAGUCUCUGCCUUUGAAUGCGACUUCAUCCGUCCAAGUGCAUACCCUUGUUGCCUUGCUUAAGAAGUCGAUCGAGAUACUUCAAGACAUUAAAUUGCUUCACCAGCAAGAUUACCAAGUUCUUCGUGCCCUUACUAUGGCUUCCUUUCUUAGGUUUUUUGUCUGUGAAAGUAUAUAUAUCGGGAACAUUGUGAUGGACCAUAUAGUCUCCAACUUUAACAAAAGCGAGAUAAUGCAAAGAAUGAUCAACAUCAUAGUUAAAGUGGUGGUUGCCUAAAUCACGUAGGGUGGUCCAAACAUGAAGCUUUAUCCGAUAUAUAUAAUAAGAUUGUCCAAACAUGAACGAUCUUACUCGUUGACAUUCUAUCAUUCAUGUGCACCCUUUUUCUCUUGCAAUAAGUGCAUCGGGAACAAAAGCAGAUUGAUAGUAACCAAGUUGACUGAUUCAUGCAAGUUUAUUAUUGCGAGAGAAAGAAAGAGGGUCCACCUAAGAUAUGGGGAUUUGGUGAUGGGGAUGUGAAAAUGAAUGAGACCCAAUUAAUCCGAGGGUGGAAAUUGAAAUGGGUUUGCCCCGUCUCUCCACACCUAUAAGCGUGGAUUCCUCGACGUGGUUAGCCAUGUUGAUGUUGAAGAAAGAUGGGUGGCCAAGUGUGGUAGAUUUGAUUGGAUGUUGACCGAGAUUAUUAGGGUGAUCAUGGGUUGGUGCCCACUUUGGCUUUUUCAUCUUUUGUAAUCAAUGUAGAUGGGUGGGUGGGUGGGUUUUCACAGUGAAGAGAACAAGGAAACAUAAAAUAAGCAAAGAAAUAAAUCUUUGUUCCUUUAGUAUAUGUAUUUCUCAUAUAUCACAGUGUUAAUAAUUAUUUAUUAUGUCUUAUCAUAGCAUGAUAUAGUUUCUCUUUAACAUGUUGGCAUAGAUUAUUUUAGUGUUUUUGAUCCAAGUAAGAAAAAAAAAUACUAUAUUAUCUUGUACUUGUUGACUCCCAAACUCUCACCGGUAGUAUUAUGUACUUGCAUGGAUAUUAAUUACUUGCAUUGAUAUUAUGUCGUUUGGGUUGACGUGGAUGAAACAAUUGUUCUUUGAUAGGUCAUUAGAUACUGGUUUGUCGGACUGUCGUUGUAGUCGAUUCUCAUACCCUUGUAUGCACGCUUACAGUGAGUGCAAUUAGACGACAUUGGCUGUUCAUUCUGCACUUGUCAUCGAUGCAUUCACAUUAUGGAGGAGGAGCGGUGGGCAGAGAGAGAAAGAGAGGUCAUUGCAUGCGUACUUUAAUGGCUCAGCAAGCAUCGGCUUAAUGGUUUAGGAGAAGUGUCACUUCGCUGGAUCUUCCCGAAAUCUCAUGGCCUGCAGCUGUAGUUUACAUUUCACAUCCGUUCGGUUUCCUCUUGGAAGCAAGACACGGUGCAAGUGAGCCCGUGGCAUUAGUUCAUCGGUCCACCUCACCGCCACCGUCACUUGCCGAGGAAAGCCGGGACAAGCGGAGGGCAGAAGCCACAUGUACUUGAAGAGAGAGCCAACACCUCAUGUGCACCAUGAGCUACAGAAGCUUUGGAUAUGAGUGGAUAAAGGAGAAAAGAAGGUCGCAGAUGAGGGGAGGAGUGAAAGGGAAAGGGAAAGGGAAAUGGAAAAGGAAGGGCAGCGGUUAAUGAGAUCGCAAGGAGUGGGUGGGGUGUGAAAAGGGAGGCAAGAUCACACACUUGGUGCUUUUGGGUAAUAAUUUCAUGUACUUGUUGCACCCUUUCCCAUGUGAAUCCACGCAGUCAUCUCCCUCUUCCUGCCUCCUCUUCCAGGAGAUAGCUGGUCUUUGGCCCUUCCUUUUCUUUAGUGCAGGGGAGUUAGGUUGCUUCCUUUUGUCAUCGUCUGUAGUCUACAUACAUGUUCGUGAGACUCGAUCUUAUUCUCAUCCCAUAUUCUCACCACAAGCCCCAUCAACACCAUCACCCUGUCUCUUUCUCGUGAAGAAGAAGAAGAAGAAGAAGAAGAAGAAGAAGACUAUAAUAUAUAGAGGAGAGAGAGAGAGAUAGAGUGAGUUGAAGAGGGGAAGAAACUGAACGAAGCAUGGAAAAGAGCAGAGAGGUGGAAUUGUGCGACACCGGCCUCAGUCUCGAAUUGGGCAUCGGCGGAAAGAGCACCACGUGGUCGACGGAUCAUCGAUCCAUGGCUCAGAGGCAGGCAUCGCUCACGUUAAGCCUCUCCGAUGAGGGAUGCGGGGGCGAAGCCGUGCAGGAGGCGGAAGCUUACAAGGGGUGCGUGGAAGGUGGUCAGCUACGACCGUCAUCUCCUCUCAGUCACAGCACGGUCUCGUCGUUUUCCGCUGCCUACCCUCAGACGAUCAAGAAGGAGAAGGAGGUCGUGGGAGGUGAGGAAGCGGAGGUAGAGCUGGCCACCUUUCGAGGAGCACGCGACGACGAUAACGAUGGCAGUGGCAGGAAGAAACUUAGGCUCACAAAGGAGCAGUCGGCCAUGUUGGAAGACAGGUUCAAGGAGCACAGUAACCUUAAUCCUGUGAGUCCCAAGAGCUGUGUUCUAUGAAACAUAACAGUCUCUCUCUCUCUCUCUCUCUCUCUCUCUCUCUCUCUCUCUCUCUCUUUCUCUCUCUCUCUCUCUCUCUCCACUGACCAUUGACCGUCUUUUAAUUCGAUGAGCAUGCAGAAACAGAAGCAUGCCUUGGCCAAGCAAUUGAAUCUUCGGCCACGGCAGGUGGAAGUAUGGUUCCAGAACAGGAGAGCAAGGUUUGUGUCUGUUUCUCGUGUGUAACACCACGCACGCACGCACGCCCCUUGAAAUCACACACAACUUGGUUGAUGUCAUUUGGAUCAUCAUAUCUAACGAUCGCGUGACACCCAGGACUAAGCUGAAGCAGACGGAAGUCGACCGCGAGCUCCUGAAGAGGUGCUGCGAGUCGCUGACCGUCGAGAACCGGAGGCUGCGGAAGGAGCUGCAGGAGCUGAAGGCCCUCAAGUUCACGCCGCCGCUCUACAUGCAGCUUCCGGCGGCCACCCUCACCAUGUGCCCUUCCUGCAACAGGGUUGGAGGCUCUGCCGACAGCUGCAACAGCGGCGGUGCCGAAGAAUUCGCGGCGGCACCACCAACUCCUCGCUUCUUCAAUCCCUUCAUCCAUUCGGCAACAUGUUAGCUAGCGUGGGAAGACUCUGCUCCUCGCACCCAGUACCGCAUGCAUGACCCACCCCCACUCUUUCUUCCUCGGGCUUUGGGAAUAACACUUGAUACUCAUGCGCCAAUUCUCUCUCUAACCUGGCUUUGCCUGCACGAAGAUAGAAAUCAAGAAACUCCGCUAUAGUUUCCUACGGUAACCCCAUGUAUUUGACUGUAACAUCGAGUAUAAAUAAUCUUUCUUGUUCUUGCUGUCCACGCUGGUGGAAGGAGGAAGCAAGGAAGCUUCGUGUUAUUCUGUGUCAUGCAGAGUACGGGGACGACGCAGGAAGCCGUGACCUUUCCGAUGGAGGGAGGCAUACACGCUACGUUUUCCUUGCUUCGAUGUGGGAACAGUGUGUGUGUGGGGGGUGGCGGGUGGGGGGCGGCGGCUCAUGUGACCGUUGUCCGGUGAUUGGGACCGAAGAUGCGGAGGAAAGGAGGGAGAAGAAAGCGUGUGGGGAAAGGCAUGAAUGAAAGUGAGAAAUCAUGGAUGGAUAAGGCAUUCAUACCUGAUUGAUUGGAUGACUGUGGGUGGGUCACACCCACGUGACGUUGGUCCCACACGACAUGAGUCUCGGUAGAAUUGGAGACCACGAAAUAAGUCGUGGUUGUCUUUUCUGGGCCCCACUUAUUAAACUCAAUUAAAAAGCUUCUAUCGACAAUUCACAACGAAGUUUGAUUUGUUGAUUGUGUCGUGUAAUAUAUGAACAAUUAUUUCUCAUGAUUUAAAUCACGUUUAAUUUCUUAAAUGAUAAUUCCUAUAACAAGUAACAUGUGACGUAUGGUAGAGAAAUGUAGUUUGAUAGCAUAAACCUAUAAAUAGUUGAUGCAGCAUAACUUGAUAACUAAGAGUUUAAUCCAUAGGGUAUCUCCAGAGAGGAAUAAAUUUGCACGGCUCAGACUUCAACUCGCCUGCGAAAUAGACAAGAUGUCAUAUCAACUAUGAUCCAUCAUGCAUCUUUGCCAUAUCAUGUCUUCUACUUCAUUCCCGAACCCUAACCUACAACCUCCCUGUCAUUCCGCACUCCCCUCCAUCUCGUUUAUGAUUACUUCUUCUCCUGCUUAUGCUGACAACAAGUUCUCAGGUCAGAGUAGUUCGAUAAGACAGAUAUAUAAAAAUAAACAAAGCCAGGUGCAUGAAGAAACGGGAGGUGCACGAAGAAAUGGGAUGAUGUAAAUUGUUGCACCUUUAUACCGUGGUCGAGCGGUCAGCUCGAUUCGAUCCUGAAUGUUCAAGGGUGCGUGACGUGAGAACUUUGGUAGUCGAGAUAGACGUUGGGUUGGGUUGGGUUGGGUUGGAUUGCGAAUGUCAUCGCAUGCUUCUGCAUCGCCAAUCCUUGCACUCAGGUCGAGGUCGGGAGGGAGGUUUUUUUGAUCCGAUCCUUCUAAAGCUUUAGUUAACUUUUGAUGAAAAAUGAGAGAGAGUUGAGUGUUUGAAGUCCCCUCUUAUUAGUAAGAGAUUUGGCUUUUAUACUUGCAACAGGGCGGUCAGUCGUACGCGGUCCUUUAAUAACUGUCGACUUCUUGAGAGGGUGACUCAUACCUUGCAGUCGAGCCUUGACCAACCCGUAUGGGUUGGCACCAUGCGGCGCUGUUCCGAGUUUUGCGGAACGACCUAAGGGUGUUCGACGCUGUAUGGGUCGACGAUAUCUCGUAUUUCGUAGAGCAGCUUUGGUGUGUUCGAUGUCGACCUGUACAACGACGAACAACGUGGAGGUCGCUUGGUCAUCAUGUUCGGGUCUGAGGUGUCAUUUUUCGUCGGUUCGAAUAUCCUUUGUCUGCUGCUAUGUGGAUGGUACCAAAAUGCACCAUAUCAAUGUCACUUUUGGUUCACGACCAGUGGAACACUAAUGGCAGGAGUCUCGUCAAAUAAUGGAAGAACGAGGAGACUUACAGGAUUUAGAUCUUGUAUGGGCAGUGCUGGUGGUUGAUCGGAACACCACUGCAAAUGAGAUGAGCUAAUGGGGAUGGGAGUCUGGGAGGAAUGCGGGGGUGUCUUUCUAUCGCCACUGGAAAGCUAAAUCCAAUUUGCGUGUGCAUGGUGUUGCUUUCCAGUCCAUCUCCCUCCCUCGGCCUCUCUCUACUUCUCAAUGUUCUCAUUGAUAGAAGAUAAGAUUUAACAUGUUAAUGUAUUGAAGCUUCUUCAUUUCUUCAAUAAAGCUUCUUCAAUAAAGUUUCUUCAAUAAUUGUUCUUAUCUUCUAUUAUUUUCAUCAUGAUAUCAAAGCAGUGAGAAAAGCAAAGUUUCGCUCUUGCCUUUGGCCAACGACCAACGUCGUUGAGAAAAGUGAAGCUUCGCUCUUGUCUUCAGCCAGCAACCAACGCCACUGCAGCCACAUUCCUAAGAGGCUCUAGCAAUAGCAAUCGCAACAGUAGCACUUUUGCCCUAUUCAUGAAGUCUCUCACUUGUAAACCAUUUUUUGUAUCAAUGUAUCAGGAGCACCAUCUUGUUGGGGCAUGAUAGAAGAUAAGAUUUUCCCAACUAUAUGAGGAAAUCUCUCUAUUCUGUUGAGAAAAAUCAUCUAUUCUGUUGGGGUUUCUCGUGAAUUCUCGUAGAAUUAUUCUACUUAUUCUUCGUAUAUUUUGGCGAGUUUGAUGCUCGGGAAUGGAGGAGUUUCCCAGCCGGGAGGCAAUCCGUGGGGAGGUUUGCUGUUCACCUCUUCCUCUACGGCCAGACAAAGUAGCUGCAGCAGAUGCAAUGGUAGCAACUCCCUCAACCGCAUACUGCAACCCCAUCAACUCUUUUCUCAUCAGCGACCACCACGAAAACCCCAACCUUCUCCAACCCAAACCCCAAGGAGCUUCCACUUCGCGAAUCCCUCAGGGCGACGAUCACGCCAUCAAGGCCAAGAUCAUCUCCCACCCGCAGUGCUCCAGCCUUGUCUCUGCUUACGUAGAAUGCCAGAAGGAACACAUCAUCUCCAUGGUCCGAGCUUCCUCUCACCGCUUCCUUCUGCCAACAAUUCUCUCAUCACGUGCUUGCAGGUGGGAGCACCACCAGAGGUAGCUUCUCGGCUGUCGGCCGUUGCUCAGGAGUUUGAUAUGAGACUGCGAGCGAGUUUGAUCUGCCGGGAUGCAGCACCGGACUCCGAGCUCGAUCAGUUCAUGGUGUAAACUCGAUCUCCCUUAUUGACGUUGCCUUCCAUUUCCUAUGCCACGUGUUUCUUUGCCUGAUGGGUUGUGAUAGGAGGCGUGCCAUGAUAUGCUCGUCAAGUACGAAGAAGAGCUGUCGAGGCCACUGCAAGAAGCCAUGGCGUUCCUCCGGAGUGUAGAAUCUCAGCUCAACUCCAUCUCGGUCGACGGUGGCUCCCUUCCCAUAACAUCUAACGGUAAUUAAACCUUCAUUUUGAUGGAAAAAGUAGUGAGGUCAAAGCUUUACUUGGAAGAAGGGGAAGUCGAAGAAGAAACAAAAGCAAUGUUGAUCACCAAAAAGACGUCAGAGGAAUUCAUGCACACAUAAAUAUUGGGUUUAUAUUUACUUCUCCCAAACCUUUCUCCAUAUGGAAAAGUUGAAAGCGAAGGUUUAGACUUUGGGUUUGGGACUGGUUGAGGCUUCAACACUGCAAUGCCGAGGUGCGCUCCGGUCGUAUGUCAGUAAGCCGAAGUACGUGCAACUUUACGAGGAGAAUCCCUUAUUUCCCGCAACACUGAAUGAAAGAUCUGCACAGGCCGCUUUUAUUGCAUUAAUGUUACUUAACCCAUUUCUUUUUGGCCUAUAAUCUAUCGAGUCUUCCUCAUGAUUCUGAACAAUAUAAUACUUGAUCCAAUCGAUGUAUACACAUGUCUUGAAAAGUCAUUUAUCUGGUAGAAAAAUGUCGUAAGGGAGGAAGCCCAGCUGAAAAGAUUCAUGAGAGAGAGAGAGAGAGAGAGAGAGAGAGAGGUUCUAAAUGUGUCGGGUUUCAAGGAGAACAUCUUGAUCCCCAUUAACCUCAAGAACAACCAAGUCAUCCUUGGGGGACUGUACAUGCUCCAUCUCAUGUGAUCAAUUAACCAGACAACUCUUUCCGCUUUGUAUGAUGUUGUGGUAAAUCUACCAAAGUUUUAAGAUGUCAACAGCUUCAUUAAUUCAGACAGCACACAGUAGUAGAUAACAUCUUCCUAUCACUGUUGAUUUGCUGUGUGUCUCACUGGUUCUUGAAAUGACAUGAGAAAACAACCUAUUUCUGAGGGCCGGCUCUCUUGCCUUGUAAACACAUUGAUGGUAACAAUACAAAUUAGUUUGAAGAUUUAAUUCCUGAAUAAACUACUGUGCGAGGAAUAGGAUCUCUCCAAUAGAAUGACAUUAAAUUUAGUUUAGAGUGCUUACUUUCUCCUAACUAGCUUUUGGUAUUGCACUGUGGCUUGCAAUGCAUGAUGGGACCUGAUGACCACAUGAAAAGAACUCUGAAAGCGAUCAUCAGGUCAAUUUCAUCCUGCCCAGAUGCAAUUAUAUUUGACAUAAUCCUUAAUCUGCACAAGGCAGGACAGAUUUGCUAACUGUGCUUCCUGAUGAGUAGAACACAAAGUUCUUGCAUUUGUUGUUGUAAGCAAGCUUAUUAUUCCACUCGAAUCAUACUGUAUUGUAUUGCGACAUUUGUUCUCCCAAACCUUUUUCCUGGAUACUAAUGGAAAUCUUUGCUGACUUGUUCUUCCUGAAAAUGACACCGAAGAAAUUAACUUCAAUAACUAUUCUCUUGCAUUCACAUAUUUUGCUAGUUUUUCCGGUUUAUUGUCAAACCCUCUUACAAGAUGUCACACAUGAACACAUCCAUUGUUAGCUCCUGCCACAUUGAUAUGGCAAAUAUAUUUCAGUAGUGACUGUGGAGUCUAUCGGUGUGUGUUUUCUCUUGUUUGGUUACCAGAAGAGAAGUUUGGAGUUUAUCCCGUGGAAGAAGACCAAGAAGGCAGUGAUGAGGAGAUGGACAUCCCCCAGCUUGGCCCAUGCACUGAAGACCAAGAGCUGAAGCAUCAUCUUCUGACGAAGUGUGGUGGAUGCUUGAGCAGCCUCCUGCAAGAGCUCUCGGAGAAGAAGAAGAAGACUGGUGGGAGUUGCAUUACAAAUGGCCGUAUCCCUCGGUAAGUGCUCUUCUGCUGCUUUCUUCUCCAUGAGGUGAUAGUAAUGUGCUUGCAAAUUUGAACACCGGAGUUAGCGGAGUCCACCGGACUCGAUAUGAAGCAGAUCGACAACUGGUUCAUCAACCAGAGAAAGCGGCACUGGAAGCCAUCGGAGGAGAUGCAGUUUGUGGUGAUGGAUGGGUUCCAAGGCCCAAGCGCUGCUGCUGCCUCCCUGUACAUGGAUGGGCACUUCAAUGGCGACGGCCUGUAUCGCCUUGGUUUCUGAUCUCUAACCACAGAUACUGAUGAUGUCUUCCUUAGCGAUUAGAUCGAAUACUCUUUGAUCUUCCAUGUUGUCGAAGACUGCAUCGUAGUUUUGAGUUGUACUUCUUGUGUUGCUGCUUUCGGUUUACGUACGAACUAAGCUGCAUGAUACAGUUGCAUGAUUAAGUCGACUUCCACGUUGACAUCAAGGACGUCGAUACAACGGUCAUACCAUUGCCGGUCAAAUAAAAAACAAGUCCGAGUAUCUCGGUCAAGGAUGUCGGUCUACGUCCAUCUAAUGCUCGCAGAAGUUGAUGAAGGCGACAUUAAAGUGAAAGGUGAUUGAUAGGACGAGGACAAGGCUUGCAGAAUACCUAUUUGAUUUCGGUGAUCAUCAAGUGACGAUCGAUUUUAUGGGGACUCGGUCUCAGCAGUAAAUGGUGGGUUCCACCACAAGAUCCAUCACUUCGCAAUGCGUCUUAUUUGUAGGACCCACCACUGCUACAUAAGUCUUUUGAACACCACAGGUUUCCGAGAUGUAAUCACCGGUCACACACAAUAAAGAGUAGGAUAUGUAUAUAUAUAUAAAGCUUCCUCGAUAUAGCAGAAACUGAUAUCUCAUACACACACAAUGGAGAACGUAAACUGGUAGAGACAAUACACCACCUUGCUAUGUGUCACUGGCGUCGCCUUAUUGUAUGAUUCCUUUCAGCUCGGCACAAAUGUGGGCAAACACACUUUUAUCUCAGAUCCCGGAGAGGCAUUCCGGCGGGGGGACUGGGUACCGGGACUUGUCGGUGCAGUAGUCGUAGAUCAUGUACUGGGUCCUCACCCACCUGUACUUCCUGGCUUGCUCGGGGCUCAGCUGCCGGUACACCGCCCCCUCCCACCAGUUGUUGGGGUUGGAGGCGCAGUUGGCGGGGCCGGGAACGGCGCAGCCCUCGAUGUCGAAGUCCUUGUAGUAGGCGUAGAAGGGCGCCUUGCUCCAGUCGAUCUUCUCCAGCCCGCCUCGCGUCGCCCAGUCGUCGGCCUCCCAGAGCGUGGAGUACACCCCCAUGGGCUGCGCCUUGGGGUACGGUACCCCCCUGCCCUCGUUGUUCUUGUACACCCUAAUCGGCACGUCGUCGACGGAGAAACUGAACGGCAGAGAGCAAUCACCAAAGCAGCAACUCAAGUUAGAAAAGAUGUCAUAUUUACUGCAUCGCGUGAACGGGUGCACAUGUCAACCCAAGUCAACCGUCUAAAUGUUACUGUAACGCAUCGUACUUCUGCUAUAGUUGGGUUGGUGGUGUUAUAUGGAUAGAUCUAUCUUGCACAGCAUUCAUUAGGCGCAUGACACAAGCUAACAUGUCCAUAUCUAUUGACAUGCCGUCAUGCAAUUCACUCGUAUCUUGGCAACAAGAAGAAUAUAUUCACAGUUGCAUGGGGAUCAAAUGAUUCGGUUGCCUUUGAAACGAAACAGAAGCCUUUUCAUGCGGUCUCUCCUUUUGGGUACUUUGUUUGGAUGCGCACUCCAUUUUGAUUCUGAAACGUAUGACAUGAAUUUACAGAGAAGUAUAUAUGGAAGGAGAAGAGCUUACACGACGUGGUAAUGGUUCCAAAGGAUUGAAUAGGUGUGGUAGUCUGCAGCGGGAUCGAACCAAAGGUUGACUCUCUGCUCGCGGUCGCCCUUCCCAUGAGCGUAGAUAUUAGUCUGCACUGUGUAUGGCUGCCCGCUCCGGUUCCCCAAGAACUCGAAGUCCAGCUCGUCACGAACGGUGUCGGUGUCCGAGUUCAUCUGCAGAAUCCUCCAUCGAUCAUCCCAACCUAAUCAUACGACGUAAAAUGAAGACUUGAAGAAUGCUAGACGACCGACGAACAUAGAAAGCGGUGACAGUGCCGGCGGAGUCGGCAGGGAUGAGCUUAAUCUUCAUGCUAACGCGGCCGUACUGGUACUGCUUGUUGGAGGCAAACCCACAACCUGAGUCACUCCGGAGAAUGAGGAGAAGUUGGACGAUGCAUAUGUACUGCAGUAAGAUGUUGGCAAAGUAUACAGAAGAGAAGCUGAUCUCAGUACCUGAGGACGGGUCCAGCAUCAGCUGGAUUGCAGUGCCUCCUUGCAGCUGCUUGAUGUGAGUUUCUGCCCAGGUGAUGCGGAAAUCUUGAAGGAAAGUGGCCGGCCGUGCGCCGACUAUGGCGACGAGGGCGAGGAGGAAGAAGGUAAGAGACAGUACAGUGGUGCGACCCAUUCUGCGCCUCCUCCUACCAGUCGUAGAAGCUAGAAGUCAGUGAGGAGAGAUCUGAAGCUGGGUUGCUUUUAUAGUGGAGAAAAGGAGGCAAGGGAUUGCGAUGGCUUCAUUAAGAUGAAGUGCCCCAUGACGGCCUUGGCCUUCCAGCUCACGGCAUGCCGUCUCGGGGCCCUCAAGCUUUACGUUCUUCUCAUGGCGAUGCUAUGUUUAACCCUCGGCUUGUCUCGUACGCGUCGCAGGCUUGCUCGUUUUCCCUUAGGACAUGGAAGGCGGAGACGGAGAUUUAUGCUGCUGGCAAAGGGCCAGAUGCAGAGAAUGAGGGCCGUACGGGCAUGGAUCGGACGGAUGCGUGGCGAGCUCGCGACGAGUGGGCUGCCGGCGUACGCCAGCGGCGCCCAGCGUGGGAGGACCGACGGCACUGUGCGGUGCGUCCCGUUUCAUUUCAUUUCCUGUUGUUUCAUUGCCCAGUCUUUGCGCGACACGUCCAAUCGCUGGGGCCCGGUACCGACGGUCUCGAGCCGGUGCUUAUCCGACUGGUGACGUGGCGAAAGACUACGGGCGCAAGGCGGACGGCAGCAGCAGUGUGCGACUGUGACUGGGCCCAAACAGGCUCCCUUCUGUCUUUUGAGAUCGAGUGGUGUUUCCUCUCUCUUUCUCUCCAAAACUUGAUGGUUUAUUUAUCCCCAUAAUUUUUAACUGUACAAUUAUUAUAUACCAGUAAAUUAAAAAGAUUAUAUAUAUAUAUAUAUAUAUAUAAACUGAUUUUAGCACCCUUUAAUUAUAUUAUGAUGGCAAAAUCCUAAGAGAACAUUAUAUGUAUAAGUUUCAAAUUGAUAAUCAAUAAUAAUCAUAAUUAGUAGUGAUUAACUUAAGCUUGUUAAAUGAAUAUUUAACAUGAUAAAAUUUCUGUGAAGCAUCUUAUUAUUCUAAAUAAUAGUAAAUAAUUCGUAUUUUAUGUGAGACAGUACUUUAAAACCAUGAUAAUACUGUCUAAUAAUUUUCAGCAAAUAAAAAAUCUCUCUUUUCUUAAAUGAGUAUAUAUAUAUUUAUAUAUAUAAGCCGAUCAUUAACUUUAAGCUUAGAAUUCUAAUUAAGUUUAUGCAAAUGAAAUAGGGAGGGGUUUUAGAGAGAGGUAGGCAAGUCACAAGUAUUUACCUCUACACAAGUGUCCAAGGAACCGAAAAGUGGGAAGAUUAGGACGCAUCAACUACCAUGUCCUUGGCGGCGUUGCGGAUGGAAGAUUCCAAGUAGUCAAUAAUAAUAGCCGUUCUCUUAUUGUCACAUAUGAGCGUUUCAUCAAAGGAAACGCAUCAAAGUAAGUGAUGGUUAUUGGACAUAUUGUUUCGAACCUCGAUGAUUGCAUGGGAAUGGAUGCCUGCCAUUGAUUGCGUCGCAUCUACAUGAUUGUUGUGUUUGUUAGGCUCGACGAUUAGAUGUCUCGUGAAGGGCAAGCCAUGUGACAUGUCCAUCCGAAGCAUCGAGUGGGUGGCAAAGAUGGCAUGCAUUGCUUUUGAUCGGGCUAGAUGUCAAUAUGUGCUUUAAGAUCGCGACAUCAAUAUUGAUUGAUUGAUCAGCCCAUUUAUAUCCUGUUAAAGGCUUAGACAGCAGCGUCUAAAUAGCGGCCCAUAAAGGCUCACUUUGGAUCGGCAUUCAAACAGUUAGUUCGGCUUUUCUUGACCCAACUCGGUCCGGUAAGUCGAAAUAAGUAAUCGGAUGGGCGAUCGCCGACUCUUCUUCCUCGCGAUCGCACCGGCAAGCCCGCCGUGCGUGAGCCGAUCCCUUCGCCGCUUAGGAGGUGAGGGAUCUCGAUCCUUGCUGACGUCGAACUGGUGGAUCCGCUUUCGUGUUUGAUGCCUUUCUUGCCGAUCCGUAGCGAUCGGUUCUUCUGUUCUUGAUUUCGGUUCUUGGGGUUUUCUUCGCGUGGAUUUGGUGAUCGUGGGUUGGUAAUCUUGAGCUUUUUUCCUUUUGUAUCUUGAGAUUUCGCCAUUGAUUUCGGUUCUUCUGUAUCGUGGGUUGGUUCUUCUGUUAUUGAUUUUGGUUCGUGGGGUUUUCUUGGCGUGGAUUUGGUGAUCGUGGGUUGGUAAUUUUGUCUUGAGCCUUUUCCUUUCGUAUCUUGAGAUUUCGCCAUUGAUUCAUCGGUCCUGGCGAUCUAGGGUGGUGGAUCUUGGUGCCGCUUCGAAUCCCAUGGGGCAAUUUCCAAUUGGUUUCCGAAGCUCUUCGAUGUCUAUACUGUGUCUACUUCAAUGAUCUGGUUCUUUUCCCUUUCAGCCUGGCCGGCUUUCACCUUGCACUAAUCUUGUGCGUCUCAUUGUUACACAUGCAUUGCAGGAUUACAGCUUGCUGCCAAUGGCUACAAUACAGCAUUUCUUUGGGAUCUCCUUAACAAGUAGGAUACCGUUUACCUUUUCGUUCUGUAAUCUAUGGUAGACAUAAUCUACUUUCUCCUGUAUUCCCGGCAAGAUAUACUAUCCAAUGUAUUUUCGUUCAUCUAAACUUAUUAAAUCGAUCAUCACAUACUUGUGCAAGUUCUCAUUCUGUCUCUGCAUCCUCAUUUGAUCGAGUUGCUCUGAAGAAAUAAGUCUUGAUUUGAGGUUUUUUGAUUGAUUUUCAAUCAUAUAACUACAUGUUCAAGUUUAUGAGGCAAGAAUAUGAAUUUCAUGCUCUUGCAUUAUCAAGCCUUUCCUUCAAGAUAUUUGGAUCUAUGGAAGCUUUAUCGGUUCAUAUACAUGAUAGUAAGCAUAAAUAAAUAAGUCCUCAAGUUAUGCUUUUAGUAAUAAUCCCUUCGAGACUAUAAUACAUAAAACUAAACAGAUGAAAUGUACUUUGCACUCUUUUAUAUUUUAAGAUUCCAAUGCAGAAACAGUUUGGUUGUGCAAAACUAGCUUAAUGUUUGGAGCAGAUGUACAGUUUUUGUUUUUGCUUCUCUUAAACUGACUAAUUUUAUGAAUUGUAGAUUUUCUUAAUGUUGAUCAUUGCCCCUUACCAAACAACCAGGACCGAAGGAUCUCACAGAUAUUGCCAGUAAUGCUGGUAGACUGGCAGGAUGAGCAAUUGCAUAUGUUCAAUUAGUCUGUAGGCAGUUGUUUUUAACAGAUGUGCCACCAUCUCAGGCUAGCAAGGUACUACCUUUUCUUUCCAUUCAGUCGAAUUGCCUGGGAACCCAUAUAUAUUUGAUAACAUGCAAGUAACCAAUAGACAGCAGAUAAGUCUCUUGGAAAGGAAUAAAUCUUGACCUGUAUUCUGCAGUCAUUAGAACUUAGCGGUUGUUCCAAAUGCAAUUCUUUAUUACGCUUUUUUGUCUCAGUGUCUAACUUUAAUUUACAAGUCAUGGAAGAUAAUGUCAUAUUCUCAUUUAGCCUGUCAUGAUGUCAUUUAGACUUAAAGUCGAUACAGUGGGAGUCACUUGAUUGUGCAUGUGAUAAACUAACCACUAGAAUGCGCCCUUGGAGACAAUUUUGCAGAAUUUUGGACUCUUCAAUGGCAAUUAGCAACUUCAGCCCUCUAGAUUCAGUGUUACACAUGCAACCUUGUUGUCUAGUCCUCAGAGUUGUCUCAGUGCCCAGCAACUAUGGUUCUUGCUUUUACAUUUUACACUAGCUAUUUGUUUGAAAGUUGAAAAUUGCAACUUUCUCAGAAUGAAGCGAUGAUGGUUUCUUCCACCAUGUAUCAUAUCACUUUUUCACUGCAUAAGAAUUUCUUGAGGAAAUUUACGUUAUAAAACAUAAAACAAUUAAAUUAUCAAUUUGUUGUAGAAAAAUGCUGUUUGGCCUUAUUUUCUGAUGUCGAGCUUCUGCUAGUUUUUGGGAGAAAUUUAAGCUGAAAGACUAGCAUUAGUGUUGCUAAUUUUCUUUCUGAAAGAGCUCUUGGCAGGAAAAAUACUAUGUAGAAUGAUCAAUGAAAUGGUCUAAAGUUAUGAAACACUUAAGAAAUAGACUGAACAUGUAUUUGUUUCGAAUUGAGAAUAGUUAUUUUGUGAUGGUCCAGGUGCCAGUGUGAUGGCUUGCUUCUGGAUAUCUCCUAACUUGCCCUUGGCACUUUGGGACACUGGUAGCGAAGAUAACUCAUGUCACUUUUAGGUGAUGACUAAGUCCAAUAAUGGAAGUGGUUGUGAUUUAUGUUCAUGACUUCCAACACAAUUUUAUGCUGAUUUCCAGUGGCUAACAUGACUCUUCAUAUUUUUCAUCUGGAUUUGGGAUCCUUUUUUGCUGUGUAAUAUGGAAAAAGAAUAUAAUGAAAAGGAAAUAUCCACAAUGGGUAUAAGUAGGAGUUACAAGGACUCUAAAGAUAAGGAUAAUUGAUGGAAAAUUAACUUAGAUGGUUCACUACCUUUACAAAUGGUAUAGGUGCCAGGAAUAGCUAUCACAUGUAUCAAAUAUCCAGGUUGCUCAAAGAGCCGAUACAAUGACAAAGUACCUGGAGAAUGACAAAUCUAUUAGAUUAUUUUAACCAAAUGCUUGCCUUGUGUUGGCCAACUAUUUCUACUUCUUUCUGAGAAAGAAAGAAGUUUGAUAUUUAGGUUACACCUCAGGAAAUUUGCUUGUUAACAGGUCAUUUUAUUAACUAGUGAACGGCCAGAAUUUCUUAUAUAUGAUCCUUCCAGGAAAGAAUAAAGCAAUGCCAUGGAAUGUUCAAAAUGAAUAUGAAGCUUGGCUGGCUAGGGAUUUUGACUUUAAUCAAAUAUUAGAGAAAAGGAGGAAAGAUGUGAAGGGUCCCAAUGAAAAGGCCAAUAUAUGCUUCAUGGAGCCCCAUUUAUGUGUGAUAUGUGGACCUAGAUUGGAAUUGGUUUCUGAAAUAAUUUUACCAAGCUGAUAAUAGGUUCUCUGAAUAUGGCAUUGGUAGCUCUAGAAAUGUUCACUAUCACAAGUGAGAUAUGGGUUUGUUAAAAUUGGAGUGUCACAAUAAUUGCGGAUUUCUAUGAUGGAUUAUAUUGUGGAAGCAACUAUUAUUAAUUAAUGAUGAAGUAUAAAUGGAUAAGGAAAAAAAAAAGAAUCAUUAAUGAUUAAGAUUAAAUAAUGUCAACGGCAAGGAAUAUCAUUUUGUUUUUCUCUCUUGGAGUUCCCAUGAAUUAUGACAAACUAGAACACUUUGCAUCUGAAUCAAUUAAAAUAUCAGAAUACAUUGUUUUGUCAUCUGAAUCCUAUUGGAUCUGGUGUAUGUUCAUGUAAGCUUGUAAUUACAUGCCUGUUUGUACAGAUUGUAAUAUCAUUUUGGAAUUUGUCUUUGGUAAAUUGCUACUUACCAAUAAAGGUGUUAUGACCCUCUAGUUCUUACUGAUUGUCUGAAAGAAAAGAAAAUAACAUUAUUUGUUUUAGACAGAGUAGUGUGUGAUCAACAAUUUUAUUUGGUCAAAAAGGGCGUUGAUUUGAUUAUUGUAAAUUAUCCUGCAUAAAUUAUUGUGUAGCUCAUAGUUCCAUGCUUCUAGGUGCACAAAGAACUACAAUAUAGCAUUUCUUUAUUAGAAGCAAGUUUUUUAUGGAAGACAAAGCAUAUCAAUAGUGAACCUAGGUCUAUUUCCUCGGAGGAUGGAUGGACCAGAACAAAUGCAGAGCACUGGUAUGAAAACAAAUUUUGAAGUCUGUCUUUCAAGUUUCCUAUCACCAUGCUUCUUGGGAUUUCUACCAUGACAAGGCCUUUCCAAGAAUAUAAGCAGGCUUCAAUAUUGCUGUAAUAUCUGAUGGAGAAGAAUAAACCAAUAGCAAUAAUCCCUAUGGUUUCACUCAAUUCAGAUAAUCAGGUUAUCAAGUUCAUGCAUUGUAGCUUUGCUUAUUUCUUGUACUUGUUUCACUCUAGGAUCUAAGCAGAGCAAAUUCAGUUUCUUAUGGUUUCCACAACCAGUCAAUGAGAUAUUCCAGGCUAGCUGAAGCUUCACUGUUCUUCCUGUGUCUGCUGAAACAGCAGGAUCACUUCCAAAGCAUGGCGGUAAACAUCCCUAGUCGCUGGUAUAAUUCCAUGUUUUUAUUUUGGUAUUGAUAUCAAUAUAUUUUAGACCCAUGCUGUGAAGUUUUUGUAAGUGAAUCGUACUAGGUAAAAUUAGAUUAUUUUAUCGUUACUGGGAACUCAAAAUAUUUAGAGAAGUGAAUGAAGAUUGAGCAAUGGGAGCGGGUGCACUGAAAAUUCAGCUAUUACUAUGUUCCAUAUAGUUGUAUUUAUAACCUAUACACUAUGAGUCCCAUAGAGAGAUGUUGAGAAAAAAAAAAAAAAAGGAUUCUCUCCAAAUUUUAGUAUCACAGAAAAAAGGUGGAAAACUUUCUACCUCAAAUUGCCUUUGAUAUAUUUGAUAGUUGAUGUCUUGGGAAAGUCUUGUGAUUCUUCAUCGACUUCUGAUUGUGGAAACUCGAUUGAUUGCACACAAAGCACAGUUCCCAUGAUCUUGAAAGAGUGAAUUACUCUUACGCGGAAACGAAACUGUACUUGCAUUAUACCAGUCUUAAUUGAUCUAAUUAUGACUUUGUCUACUGACCUGAUCAAUUAUGAAUUUUCACAUUUGGCAUAGAUCGGAGCUGUGUGGAAAAUUAGGAUUCUGGUGGCUUACUGUCAUGGUUGCCGUGUGUUGGCCCUUGAUGAUAUAGAUAUAUUUUCCUAUAUUUAUUGUACUGUACUUAUUGUUUCCACUCUGUCAUGGUUUUUUAACUACCUCUUUUACUGCAUGGUUUAUUUUCCUAUGUAUCUUUCGCUGUUUGCAACUUUAGUAGCUAUGAAUGAGUCUGGCUCUCCAAAUCUCACUAUUGGAUAUUUUCGACAUGCUUUUCAUUCUCUACGUUUGCACAGUUGUAUAUGUGGUGCUAAAGUCAAAGCACCAGCGUAGAAUUUUCAGUCAUUGAUCUUCCUAGAGUUAACAUGACCCCAAUAUAGAAUGACAGAUGAAUAAAAUUUUUAAAGAAUUUUCAGUCUUCGUUAAAAAUCUAGAAAGUGUAUGUCUAUUUAUGAAUCAAUAAAAGGUUAUUAAAAAAAUAAUGAAGCCUAAUAAAUUGAAGCACGAUCUUAUUUCAUUUUUUUUCAUAUUUGAUCUUAUUAAGCAAUAAAUAAAAAAAAUAAAUUAAAAUUUGAUUUUCAUAUUAUGAAAGACGAUCGAUUAAAAGUUAGGAAAGUUUACUAAUAUAAAUCAAUCUUGAUGAAAAAAUCAAAUUUCAUGCCAUAAUACUUCUAAAAAUAUUUUGGUAAAAACAAAUAUUUUAUUUUUUACAAAAUACUUUGCAUUCAUAAUUUUUAAAUUAUUUAAUGUAAGAAGCUAUCAAUACUUUUGUUGGUACAAUAUUUAAUAUUGCCUAUGGUUUAUCAUUCAAAUAUUCUUGGAAUUAUAUUUUUUACAUUUUUUUAUUUGAAGUAGACGAGUUGGGCAAACAUUUUUUAUAUUUUCUACAGCCUGGCUCGCAAAGUCUAAGAAGGGCUAUAUCUUAGGUCGCCCAUAUAUCACGCAUUUCUUAAACCCGGCAAUAAAUAGAGUUUUCAAAUAACAAGACAAUUGCAACAUAAUUAAUAGCCGUAGACGGUAGUCAAAAUCCUAUAGGCCCCCACCUAUCAUCAGCCCGUCAUUUCCCCGGAACUAGAUCAGCAGCUUCUCUAUAGCAUCCUGCAAUGUCACCGGUGUCAACUAAUGCUACCACCAUGUAAAAUCACGCUAGAAAAAGACGGGAAAGUCGAAUGCAGCGUGAAUGAUUCUAACGAUCCGGGCUCAAAAGAGCACAACUUAAUACAAUCAGCGCGAGAGGGAUGGGGAGCUCACCUUGAGUUGCUGAAUCUGAGAUUUCAACUGGCUACCUUCGUUGCUGGUAACAGAACAAGCUAUCACAGGCCUCGUAACUCCGCAAGCUCGACCAAGAGCUUGUUUGGAAGGAACAAAAACAUAAGGCACAUUCUGGCAUUGCGAGUGUUCAAACAGGUUAGAAACUCAAAUACUGAUUCAUUUUAAGCAUAUAUUUGUAGCUAAGAUGACAGUCGUAUAAGCUUGUGUUCAGCAUCAACAACAAUAUCUGAAGACUUUUUUUAAAUAAAAAACAUAGUAAAAACAACUGAUAAAUGGAAAUAAUGUGCAGCAAAAAAGCCUGGAUCCUAUCGUGAACAUAUUCAUUCCCUAUCUUGUUUUCGAUGUUAGACCCUUUGCAGUAACUAAUAAUCCCAAGAAACAAGGGAAUGGAACAAUCUCCUUGAAAUUCACAUGUUUUAUAACAGUGAAGAGACUAUAACUAAAACCAGCACCAGAGAUCACUUUUAACAUCUGGAGACUCUAGCUUCAACUGUGUUUGCCAGUUGCCCGGGAAUUAAGGGCGUUGAAGCAUGCUAUUUAAUGGUGACAAAAAAGGAUGAGCCCAGAAUAUGCAUAUUAUCCAGAUCAUCAAGAAAAUAUCCAUUAAAGCAUAUGCAUUUUUGGUGGUCAAAUUUUAAAGAAUCCCUCAAGGGGUUACAGAUGUUGUGCUCACUAUGGCUUUAAUAUGAUAUGAGUGUCUCACAGGAAACAUGUUACUUGUAAAAGCUUCUGUUCAAUGAUACCAGAAACCUGACAGUUAUGUUACAUGCAUGCAUGACUUUUGAUUACA